UUUUUUUUGAUGUCUUUAUACACUUUUUCUGACUCAGCUGGGCUUCAUGCUUCUAGCUCUCAUAUGGCAGUUUGACUUCCCACCUUUCAUGGUUCUUAUUAUAGCCAUUCUUAAUGAUGGUUUGUUUCUUAUUCCCUCAUUUUGUCACUCAUAUAUUGACUUAAGCACUCUCCUACUUGUUCCUCUAGACUAUGACACUAUGUCAUAUCAAUUGACUAACUUUUGUAGGUACGAUUAUGACGAUAUCAAAGGACAGGGUGAAACCUUCCCCUCUUCCAGAUAGCUGGAAACUUUCUGAGAUUUUUGCUACCGGUGUUGUCUUUGGAAGUUACAUGGCUAUGAUGACUGUUAUAUUUUUCUGGGUUUCAUACAAAACUGAUUUCUUCCCGGUACAAUAUCUCUCCUCUCUGUUUCUUUGUGUUAGUUAUCUCGUUGGUUUUAUUUGCUUUGUUAAUAGUAGUUCCAUUAACAUCUAAUCUUGUUGGUCAUUCUUUUGGAUAUCUUAGCAAUUAACUCUUUUCUCAUUUGUAAUUUCAGAGAACUUUUGGAGUUGCAACACUUGAGAAAACAGCACAUGAUGAUUUCCGGAAGCUUGCCUCAGCCAUAUACCUGCAAGUCAGUAUUAUCAGUCAGGCACUUAUCUUUGUGACUCGGUCACGGAGCUGGUCUUUUGUGGAACGUCCUGGGUUGUUGCUUGUGAUUGCCUUUAUCCUUGCUCAGUUGGUUAGUCCUGAACUUCGUUAACUGUGUGCAGGACACAAUGCAGAACCUCCAAGGUUAAGAUUAUGAACUUAGGUAUGAAUGAUUGUUUUGCUUCCAAAACAGGUGGCUACUCUAAUUGCAGUCUAUGCAAACUGGAGCUUUGCUGCGAUAGAAGGAAUUGGUUGGGGAUGGGCCGGAGUCAUUUGGCUUUAUAACAUCAUAUUCUAUAUUCCACUUGAUUUCAUCAAGUUCUUCAUCCGCUACACUCUUAGUGGCAGAGCCUGGGAUCUUGUUAUUGAACAGAGGGUAUGUAUCAGGAACACAAAAAGCUUUUGUACUACUUUGUACACUAAUGUUUCUAAUCAGUUCUCUUGCAUUUCCAUAGGUUGCGUUCACAAGGCAAAAGGAUUUUGGGAAAGAACAAAGAGAGCUGCAAUGGGCGCACGCACAGAGAACGCUCCAUGGUCUACAAGCACCAGAUACUAAGAUGUUCACUGAUCGAUCCCAUGUCAGUGAACUUAACCAAAUGGCUGAAGAAGCCAAGAGGAGAGCUGAAAUCGCUAGGUAAGUGACUUAAACCCCAAUCUCCAGCCUUUGAACAUAACAAAAACAACGUUUCAUUGUCUUCUCUCUGUCUAUUGUUCUCUGUUUUACAGGUUGCGGGAACUUCACACGCUCAAGGGCCAUGUUGAAUCCGUGGUGAGACUCAAAGGACUCGAUAUAGAAACCAUUCAACAAGCUUACACUGUCUAAGAGACGAAGACUCAAAGAGCAACCUGGUCUCAGUUCGUUGAUGAAAGUGUCUCUAGUUAAGUUAGUACAUACUGCAUAUAAAUAUGGAAUUCUGUUAGUCUUCUAUUAGUGGUUUGUUCUGCUGUUGUGGUGAAAGAAGUUAACAAAAAUUUGGUACACAGUUUGAAAUUAGCAAUCUUAUUGUACAAUACAUGUCUAUAAAGAUGAAGUGAUUUCUUCAUUUAAUUUUAAUCUAUGGAGUACACAGAGAUUGACUUAGAGUAAAGAAAAAGAACAACAAGAAAAGAGGGAGACUGAAGAAGAAAGACCAAAAAUAAAUAAGUUUCCAGAUCAGACAGAGUUCUUGUCUUGUAGCUGCUGUUGCUUGGUCUCUUCUUCAUUUUUCUCAAUCUCAGUGAUGUCUUCGUCAUUGCUGCCUUUGUAUCUAUACCAUUUGGCCAUCAACAAGAAGUAACCAAAGUUAACAACCAUGAUUCCUGUGAGCAUGAAAUAGAAAUAAUCCAGUUUCGCUUUGUUCAGAUCCUCAGCUAACCAAUUCCCUGAAGGUGAAUGCUCAGUUGUUCGAUGAACAGUUGAGAUCAAGAAGCUAGCGAGGUAGCUCGAAAUGCCUCCACCUAUAUAGAAGAUAGAACCCGCGAAGCUCUUCAUGUUUUCAGGAAACUGCUUGUAGUAAAACUCCAUUUGUCCAAUGGCAGCAAAAGCUUCUGCUAUGCCUGCAAGUGUGAGCUGCGGAAUCAGCCACAGAGCUGACAUGGAGGAGAUUUCUCCUGUCCGAGGCGCCAUCCCGAGUGUCGGUCUUGUCAGCGCAAAGGUUCUUCUCCGUUCCUCUAUAAAUCCAGAAACUAAUAAACUCAAUAUCGAAAAUACAAUCCCUGCUCCGAUUCUUUGUAAGAGUGUUAUCCCGGUUUCUAACCCGGUCACUCUCCUGAGCGAGGGGACAAGGACACGGUCGUAGAAUACGAUAAAAACUGUCAUGCCCGUCAUUAAGAACACUACAUAGGUUGCGCCAGGAAUCCUGAAGCCGCCAGAACCCAAUCGCCGGUCGCUCUGGAGCGCUUGGAAGACCGGAUAAGUCAUUUGCAUACUUAUUGCAAGGUAGUAAACUGAGGAAGCAAGCCAAAUUGGAAUCACUCUUACAAUGCAUUUCACUUCUUCCACUUGCUGCAAUGUGCAUAGUUUCCAUGGAUCAGAAGCCGCUCCAUCAGAGUUCAACUUGUCCUCUGGGGUCAUAAUAGCUGCUUUGUCGAGAAAUCUGGCAACAUAACAAACCUAAGUCAUUCAGCAAAACAUAAGCCAGAAACAUAUAUAUCAAGAGAACAAAGUAUAAGAGAUUUCGAUUUUACCUCAACUGGUCGGUGUAUUUUAGAGUAGUAUUUACAUAGUUGCGCGGGAUAUGGUUGUAAAGAUCAACCCAAGGCUGCUUAACCGGCUUCAAUCCUCGUUUCUUGAUCGCGGCUGCAAUAACAUGAGCAAUACCAGCCAAAGGACUACCUGAGGCUUUUACUUUUACAUACAAUCUAUCGCCCGCAAAGAAGAUCACGCACGCCAAGAACAUCAGAACCACCGGGAUAGUCAAACCGAUAGUCCAACUCACAUUUGACUGGAUAUACACAAUUAGCGUGAGCGAGAUGAUCUGCGCGAACGUGAAGGUGAAGAAGUACCAGUUGAAGAAACUGUUGAUCCCUUUCUUUCCAGAUUCGGAUUUGGGGUUGAACUGAUCAGCACCAAACGCUAAGUUACACGGUCUGAUACCACCAGCACCUACCACAAGAAACCCUAAACCCAUCAGCAGGAACAUGAUCUGUCCCACACUUGGCCCUUCGCAUGUGCUUUUGUUUCCACAAGCAAUGGGGUGCAAUGAAGGAACUGCAGCAGUCAGUAGUAUCACAAACGAUCCCUACAAAGAUGACAAUAUUUUAGAAAAAUAUUGGCGAAAACAUAAUCAGGUUGGUUUUUUUAUAUGUCAUCAAAGAUUGAAGUACCAGAAAACAAGCGAUGACAGCAACACAGAGAGUCUUGUAGCGACCAAAGUAAGUGUCACAGAGGAAAGCAGCGAUGAAAGUCCCGAAAUUGAUAGUGCCACUAAAGGCAUUGAUGAUAGUUGCAGCUGUGUAGCUCUUAAGGUUGAAUACAGAAGUCAAGUAGACAAGAAGGUUCGAUAAUGUCCCAAUGAUCCCAAGCUUCUCAAAUGUCUCAUUACCUAUGAAUAGCAAAACACAUAAAAUGAUAAGAAACUAAGUUUCUCAUACAGUUACAAUUACAAAGACCCUUUUUAAAACAUUUAAUGCUACAACUUUUGAAACCGAAACACACAACAAAUCAAAGAUUGGAAGACUUUCAAAGUUCUGACUUUUAUGGUUCACAUGAUGGAAACUUAACACUACAUGACUAAAACUGUUCUGUAACUCCCAGAAACUAAUUUUGUCUUAUCCAGAAAUUCUCAGAAACCUUAACUGCUUGAUUUUAAAGUCUCUUCUUUUUCCACGGAAAAUUAAAUUAAAAAAACAAAUUGUAAAAAUGUCUUUUACUCUUUAGUCUUUACCAUAGAUAGAUCUUUAAUGUAAGAAAUCUCUUUAGAUUUAGUUUGACCUGGGUUUCAACCAAAUCUUUUUUUACCAUUUUUUUCGUUCAGAAAUCUCAGAGCAAAAUCUCCAAAGUCGAGAUUUUUGGACACGGUCAACUCAAAGACAAGUAGAAAGAAACGAAAUUAUAAUAACUUCACGGACCAAAUGUUUUAAAAUUCCGACAAAACACAACAACAAAAACAUAUAUGUAUGUCCGAAAGAGAAAAGUGUUUACCAAUGAUGAAAGGCAUGACUCUCCAUCCUCUAUAAACAAGUUUUUUCUGCUCCUCCUCGAAAGAAUCGACCGUCGUCGAAGUAACAUCAUCGGUCGUCGUCGUCGUCGUCGUCGUGGUCUCAACCUCAAGGGGCUUUCUCUCCAUAGUCUCAAUCUGUGUGUAAUUACAACAGAAGAGGUCGUUGUUGUUAUUAUCGUUGUUCUUCUUAUCUCUUCUUACUCUGCUCUUCAUCUCCAAGGCUUCGCUCUUGUUUAUAUAGUGGUGGUGGUGGAUCGAGAGCGAGUGGAUUUUGUCGGAAUCUAUUGAAAAAGGAAAUUAAACCAACUGGUGAUAUUUUUUUGGCUGUGAAAGAUAGAGACAUCUGUGUGAGUGAUUUCAUUUAAUUAAUUUCAUUUAAUUGUUUGCUUAAAAACGUUUCGUUUUAAUUAUUGGUUAAGAGAGUUAUGUGGGCUUAGUUAGUGCUCCAUGUAGGCCCAUUUUUACACUCCCUUUCCCUCUAUUUUGACUAGUUUUAGUCUAUUAGUAUUAUUAUUAAUCUAAAAGUUAAUUUAUUAAACCAAAUUGUGUAAUAUGUUUACAUUAAACCAGUUUUAUGAUUUCUAUUAAACUGGUCAACUGAUGCAAUUCUAUGUUAUUUUAAUUGUAGCUUUCACUAUUAAUAUUUUAACUCUUACAUGAUGUUAUUUUAUUUUAAAUUCACUGCUAUUGACUAAUUUUAGGCUAAUUUAUAUGACUAUAAAUUAGUAUUUAGUACUAAUUAAACCUAUAGUAGCUACAUGCAUGGUUGAAUAAGAUGGUCAAUCAAAACCAUAAAGAUUAAGUUUCUUUCUUUCAAAAGUUCAAGAUUUAUUUGCUAAAAUUUUUUGUCGAAAUGUUUAAAAUUAGCCUAUCAACUUUAAUUAUAUAUAUGAAUACAAAUUUUUUUAAAAAGUAUUGACUAACAAAAGAAAUAUUUAACAUAUCACUAAUUUUAGAUUUUUUUCUUUUCCUUUCUUUUUCGAAACCGAGAUUCUUUAAUUUUCUUUAGAUUUAUUACACACAUAUAUACCUUUGUUUUAUUUAUAACGAAAUUUAAACAGUUUUAAUAAAUAAUGUCAGGACUAAAUUAAUAAGAAUGAAUAACUAAAUAAGUUGAUGCAAAUUAUGCAUGUAAUUAUCUUUGAAUAUAUAUAUCUAUAUGAUCCAUGGGCAGACAAGAGUUGCAAGAAGUCAGUAGUUAUCUUUUCAUGCAUGUUCACCAAACAUUUAAUUCUAUGUUUGCUCUCUAACAUUUAGUUUCUUGUACAGUGACUUUGGUACUUUCACAUUUUAGUUAUAUAUAUAUAAUAUAAAGACAUAUUGAAUACUGGCAUUAGUAAUGAAGUAAACAUAGUGAUACUGGUCUUACAACAAUAGUACUCUAAUUGUUUAGCAUGAAAUGCUAUCUAUGUCUAGGGGUGUGGAUCCAUAUAUUUUAUGAACAGAAUCUAAUGAAGUUGUGAAAGUGAGGCAAAGGGUCCACUUCAUUUACUUCACAUUUAUUAGGUUACUGAUGUGAUAUUCCUACCUUUGGCAUAUAUGAUGAAUUGAUGUGUAUAUAUUGUAGUCCACAGAAUUUGCUAGUUCAUAUCAGAAACCUAAACACACACAUAUACAUAUGUAUAUAUAUAUAUAUAUAGUGGAAAAUAGCCUAAAAACACAGACACACACCUAAAAGUUAUAGUUUUUGUCAGAAAAAUUUAUCUGAAUGUAUAUCUCAUUAGAGAGCUAUACACCAAAGUUACUACAUAUUUGCCAAAUUAAUAUUUAGACCGUUAACGUUCUCUAGCUGUUUUAUUUCAUUAAAACCAUCCCAUCAAAACCCUAAAAAUUGUAUCCUAUGAAGGCACCGGAGCUAAGAGGUUUUGAUCCAAUAUUCAUGUGGUAAAACAUUUAGCUAUUAUAUAUGAUAUGAUAGGUAAUAAUAUCAUUUCUGAAAGCUCAACUAUCAUUGUUUUGUGUGUGUAAUAAUAUGAUAUGAUAGGUGAAACCUUAGAACAUCGUCCAGCUAAACAUAUAUUGUCCUCUUCGGCGCAUUAUGAUAUGAAAAGAUUCCUCUAAUAAUAAUUGAUAGGUGGAAACAAUUUGGAAGAAAGAAACAUGACAAUAUAAAUCAAUGGGUACAUGUUGUUUUAAGAAAUAGGAAUUAUGUAUACGAUACUGUUCUUUCUAAUUUACGAUAUAUAUAUAUAUUGCUUGCAAGGCAUGGACGAUAUGACAAGCCAGUGUUGUUGACAAAGACUGGGGACCCAAGAUCUUAUCUGUACACACCACAACAUUUGUUUCAUUAAACUGAUUCUCAUAUGUUUUAAUAGAGUUCAAGAUAAUACAAAUAUCCCAUAAAGUUAAGCAGAAUAUGUAGAUAUUAUUUUUUUUGGUAAAAGGUUAAGUAGAAUAUGUAGAUAUAUUGAAUUGUAUUUUUAAGUUAGAGUUUUAAUACAUGUAAGAUUGUGCCAGAUGAAUCGUAUAAGUCGUGAACUCCGUACGUUAUCAAGCCGACCCAGAAAAAGUCAUAGACAUUACCAGUUUUUCUUCCUUUUCAAUUAGGUCUUGACUUAAAUAGAUUCCCAAGUCCAAUUUAUUUUUUACUCAAGUAGUGUUCACACACAAUUAUAAUGAAAAUGAACAAUCAAAAUAAAAUAAAUAUUUCUUUAAAACUAAAAUUCAAGGAAAAAUUCUAUCAAAAUUGUCCUACUACUUCGAGACUUUGACAAAUUUGAAACUUUAAUGUAUAUAGUAUACUUCGUUUAUUGUUAAUCGGUUUCGAGUUAAAAUCUCAUGUUUGCUAAUCAUUUCUUAAGUAUUAUGAAACAAAAAUUAAAUGAACAAAUGUAAGAAACCAAAUUAUGAACUUCAGUGCAAGUAACUGAUCUAUAUUAACAUUUUUAAAGACACUUAUGAAAAAACCCUUGCUUUGCUCACUUAUUUAUAAGGUUCUGCCAUUGGUAUUAAUAUUUCUUUUUAAGUAGUUUAAAAAUCAAUAAUGAAAACAAGAAAAUCUCCCUAAAAUUUUUCGAAAAUACUUAAGAAAAUCUUCAAGUUAAAGAAAUAUUUAUUAUUGCGAAAAAAUAGUUAAGAAAAUCUCUAUUAAUUAUUUCGAAAAUAGCUAAAACAAUUUUCAAAUUUAAUACAUACUUAUUAUCUUAAUAAAAAUUUCCAAAAAUAACUAAUGUAAAAUUCAAAAAUAUGAGGCAAACUUCUCAAACUAAAGUCAGUCGAUUUUAUAAAUAUUAAAUAGGCACACGAUUAUUAUUAUUUUUUGUGGGAUACACACAUUAUUAUUUAAUAAUAAUAAUAUAUGAAUAAAUCUGCAAUAUAUAUAUAUAUAUAUAUAUAUAAUAAUUAAUAUAAGAAACAAUUUGAAACUUUCCACAAAAAAUAAGAAACAAUUUGAAACUUUUAAUUUUCUCUAUAUUUUAGUAACUACCAUAACUACUAGGUUUUAAUAUAAUAAAAAUAUAUCAAAACAUUAUUAAAAUUUUCUAAAUUUACCUUUUUCAAUUUAUUAUGUACAGAAUUUCUUUGACGAAAUUUGUGGAAAGUGAAAACCGAACCAUUGAAAUUUAUGCAAUAUUUUGGGUAAAAAUAUGUUAAAAAUAAAUCAAAAAUUACAAAACAGAUCAAUAUUUUAUAUUUCUCCAUUUAUAUUUAAAAGAUAAGAAAAUACAAAUCCUUUAUGCAAUAUUUUGUUAAUUUUUAUUAUUUAAAAUAUUUAACUUUCCCACACCAUUUACCUAUAUAUAUAACCAAAUCUUUGUGUGUAAGCUUAGAAUAUCCAUUUUUGUUUUUCAGUUUUGAUAGCAUUUUUUUCUUUUACUUAUUGAAGUAAAAUCAAGACGGAAAGAUGGGAAAUAUGUAUUUUUUUUUUGGCGAUUAUAUGACAUGAUGGGGUAUAAGACGAGAAAUACUAUAAUAUGCUUCCAACAAGUUAUAUGACGGGUCGGGUUGUAAGAUGGAACGGGUUUGACUUAAUAUUACAAAAAAAAAGAAUAUUAUUAAUCUCACAAUUCAAUACGGGUCAUUUUACUACUUUGUUAACCGACACUAAUAUAAAACAUGUAUAAUUAAACUAAUUUAGUAAAGAUUGAUAUUAUGCAAUCUUAAUAAUUAUUAAAUAAACUCUAACAUCUAUAAAUUUUUAAAAAUAUGAAUUUAAAUAAAAAAAAUUAUCCCGCGGUGUACCGCGGGUCAACAUCUAGUUAAUUAUUAUAAAGAAAGAAAAAAACAAAGAUAGUUUUGGGAUACAAAAUGCGGACUAUUUAUAAUUAUAUUUAUUUUAGCUUCCGGUUAAUAACUGGUUUAAAUUCGAAUGUAUAUCAAUAUAUCAUUUAUGUAAGAUACGACCUGUUUUUUUUUUCUUAUUAAGAGUGGCGUUUACAUAUAUAAAAAUUAAAAAAAAAACAUACAUAAGCAAUACCUAAUUCCAUUAAGAUUGUAUCAAACAUGAAAUUUCCUUGUAAGAGGAAACAAACAUGUACAAUGGGAAACACUGCAAAAAGUUCUAAUUUGGCAGACUUUAAAAAAUACGUUUAACAAUAUUAAAUAUGAACAGUUCUUCUGAAACAUAUAAAAUACGUGUGUAGAGAUAUAUAUAUAUAUAUAUAUAUAUAUAUAAAUACGUGGGUUAUACGUGGAUUACACAAACAAAAAUGUAUGGUGUUGGUGUAAACAGUUUAACGCACAUGUUUUUAAUUGUGAUAAUGUUAUUGCAGUAAUUAACAGUAAAAUAUACGAACCUAUACUAAAUCUGGAUCAUACAGAAACACUAUUUUAGGUGAUGGCUAAACAGUAUGGUCCGGUUCGGUUAAAUAAAUCAAAUAGGACGGCCUGGUAAGUAAUUAUAAUUUGGAUUGGUUCGAUCUUGGUUUCGUAUGCAAAAUUCACAUUAGUAAGAGAUUCUUGGUUAAAUGUCUCAGUCACACGUAUUUUUGCUAAAGAAUUAGUAUACAUGACAAAUUUUUUUCUCAACCAUUCGUUUUUAUAACAUGACAUUGACACACAAACAUAGAACACACGGUUCAAAUUGGGUUGUUAAUUUAUUCAAUACGAGCCAAAAAGAAAUUUUUUAUUAAAAAAAAACAUACGAAAAGAGAAGAAGAGUUGAUGGUGAUGAUGUUGUAGUAGUAGUGUCCGUAUUCGCCAUACUUUUUGGGUUUGACGCGGUUGAUUUGGAAAUUAGUGAUUAUAUCAAAUUGUAGAAAGCAACACUCUUGUAUAUAAAAACAAAGUCAACCUUCUCAUGCUUGUUAUCCAUGUCACGGGUUUUGAACCUUUUCUAGUCUAAUUCACGCGGUCAAUCAUUGGGGAUAGUGGGGAUAAAAUUGAGAUAGUGGUUCCUCAAUUAAACCUAAUCUAGUUACCAACCAUAUCGGAUGAUAAGAAACCCGGUUUAACUUGGUACUUGGACCAGUUUUCUUAUAAACCGAAGUCAUCUUUACUGUAAACUUUUAACUAAUCAAAAUACAAGUAACAAAAGUAAACAACCUAACUAAAAACUACAUGCAACUACAUAACCCAAAUGACGAAUGAAUUUAUUGUAGAUAGAAAACAAGAUCGAACCAAAAGUGAACCGAAGACAAACUAAACUAAAAUGCCAAUCCUUGUCACGUAAAUUUUAUUAGUUGGACCGGCAAGCGAGCCUGAAGAAAAACAAGUGGAAAAUGAAGAGAAUUAUUAUAUUACCAAUUUUCUAAAAAUAAAUAAAAACACAUGGAUCUUUCAAAUUAUGAAUGAAGAAAAUUCUUAAUGGAAUGGAACUGUAUGUUUUAUGUCUAAUCUUUAUAACAUAAAGUCUUAACCACGUGUCUAAUCGUUAUAUGUUUAUCUGAUUGUUUUCUUUUGGCGGUGUAGUUUUCAUUGUUUGAUGGAUAGACUACGACACUAAAUUUGGUCUAACACUUGGACUUGUUGUUUACAACAUGGUUGACUAUACAAGUUCACAUUAUGAAAAUGAUCAAUUAUAGUUUUUGUUAUUAUCGAAAACUGUUGUUUAUUACAUUUGGAGAGAACGUAGUUCAAGACCUUCACUCUUCUGACUUAAAUUAUGAUCAUGUUAUAGUCAAAAAUAUUCAACCUAUCUCUUAAGGGCCAAACUUGCUGGCUUAAUUUAGACCCGUCGGGUGAGGCAACACAUCAACCCGUCAAGAACACAAACUGACCAUCAUCAAAGUUUCUUAUGUAAUUGGUUUAUGACCUAUUUUUCGCUUUGCUUCACAUGAAUAUCGAAAAAGUUGAAAUGUUUCUCUACUUCUUAUGUAAAUGGUGUCCUUUAUAAAAGUGGAAUUGAAUAUGAUUGUUUAGCACACAAAAAAAGGGGAAUAAUAUGAUCCACUUCGAUAUGAAGAAUAUUGCUUUUGUAUGUAUAUACAAUAGCUAGCUACACUUUGUAUCAUACGAGGUCGUGGAGCAAAAGACAAGUUGCCUUUUCCAUCAUUGGGCCGGCAAGUGCUGCAUGCACUCUCCGCCUACGGUUACGUUCUUAAUCCCCCCACGUUUUAACUUUUUCAGUAUGAUCUCUUCGUUAAUUCUUUUUAUAUAUAGUUAAUUAAUUACCUAUACCCCUAAACUAAAUAGUCAUUUUUACAGUCCACACAUUUUGAAAUAAGGUUUAUUUAAUCCAAAAUUUAUAAAAGCAAUCAUUAAAGGCCGACGUUCUCCAAAUAUAAAAACUUCCAAAUUUCGACAAAAAAACACGUUUAUGUCUCCUCCAUCUUUCAUAUGGACGAUUGUCUUUUUAUAUUCCACUGUCUACAUAUAAUGAUCCAAACCAAAAUUUUCUACGUCAUUUAUAUGAAUUUAACGCUAUUUUCUCCGAUAAAUUUUACAUCGUCAAUAAUGGAUCCAUCCAUCUCGGUGGCUUCUUCUUUCACCGUCACCAUCUAUCCUAACUCCACUCUUAUCCUCGAGCAUUUGUUUUGCUUUCUCCAACCAAACUACACUAGCUUAACCCUCUUUUAUCUCAUUUUUUCCUCCACAACAAUCAUCAUCCACCUUUGUUUCCAUACGAGAUUCGUAUCAUGAAAUUGGGUGUAUCGGAACUAUUUCAUAUAAUAUGAAUCAUCUUUUUUCACUUAUAUGGCAUCUUUUGCUCCCAUGUUGGUGAAUUCGACCAAAAGUAUACGCACUAUAAUCUAUAUGUGGUAUGAAAAAAACUGUUCACACUCUACAAAUGUGUUGUGGGAUUAACUUCACAAAUCACACUCUACAAAUGUGUUGUGGGAUUAACACUCAGCACGCACUACAAAUUAACAUUGUAUAAAAAAAAUUAAACACGAUAUACAUAUCUAAUUAUUAAAUCUUUAUGGCUACACGCCUGCAGAAACAUGUUUAAAAUGUAAUACUAACAUUUAUGGGAAGUUUCGACGUCGACGCACUUAACAUUAGCUUCUUCGAACAAGCUAAAAGAGUGAUAUUAUGUUGACGAGGACCUAAGAAAAUAAAAAUUAAUACAUAAAGGCUUUGAUUGGUAUAAAGUUUAUAAGCUUUAUUUUGGUAUAAAGUUUCAUUUAAACGUUCGUUUUGGCGGACGAGGUGGUUGAGCUAUAUUUUUAAUUGUUCACACUCCAGUCUAUAUUUAAUUGUAGUGGACGAUUCCAGCACUCAUCAUCGAGUCAACGUUUUGAUUUGUUCUUUCGUCAUACGUACGUGUUUAAUUUUCAUACAUCAAAAUUUUUAUAAGUAUUUUAUGAUAUGAGCUGAAACAAAUUCUGGUUGCAGUUUUGUUCUUUAAUGAUUGAUACCGAUCGAUGGAAGAUAUUGAUACGAUAUGAUUCUCUCUGUAGAUUUUUUUUUUCGUAUUUUCUUUAUCUAAACUUGGUUGGGUUUUAAAACUACUUUAGUACUUUGUUAUCCUGUUAAAUUACUAUUCUCUCUAUCAAGUGUUUUUAGCCAAAAAGAAUCUUAUUACAAAAAAAAAGUUGUUGUUUAUUCAAACGAAUAUAUUAUAUAUGGGAAUCAACUAGAUACAAUUGUUUAACUUGCGAAGAAUAAAAUUCUAUGAUUUUUGUUUUUGGUCACCAAAAAUUAUGUGAUACGUGUUACAUUGGUACUGGUUAUUAACCGUACGUAUUUUCCUAUAUAUGUUUGUUGUCUUUAAUCAAAAUCAAAAGGUUCGUGUUUUUAAUUUUUGGUACACAAUUUUUUGAUUUCUUACUCGAAUGAGGUAAAAAAAAACAUCAGCAACACAAAUUGUUAUAAACGAAAAGAGAGUAAGCUAGACCCUCUGUAAUCAACAAAAUUCAUAAAACACAAUAAACGAAUAAGUAAAUAUGGAUGUGCAUACUGUAUAUGUUUUAGAAGUUUGGCUAAGUAAAGAUGUAAAGUUUUUUCCUAUGAUACUUGGACGAGAAACUUUUAACAAAGUUUAUUUACUGUUGUUGUAGUGUGUAGUUUUGGCCCAAUAUACUGGAAGACAACAUUAUGGUGCCGCCAUUUUCAGUCACAAAUUAAGUGCUAAUUAUGGAAUAUUGACUUUACAAAAUAACAUCAUUAGCCGAAUAAUAAUAAGUACAACAGUCUAAACCAUAUCAAACGGCAUGUCCAUUUACUAAUAAUUGUGGAGUUUACAAACUAAUAGGGACAGCCCACCACAGUGAAUAUAUAAUUACCACAAUUUAUUGAAGUAGGCUUGGCCACAUAUUCUCUAUAAUUAGAUACAAAUCAACCAUUUAUAAUGUUAGUGUUGGUUAUAAUAUGAUAUAUUCUCGAAGUGGCAAUACAAAUCAACUAUUUAUAAUGGUUAUUUCUGUUAGUGUUAGUUGUGUUGUGGAGAGUCACACUAUGACAGGAAUAUUCUAUUUGUAAUGAAAAAUUCCCACAUGUAAGCACUUUCAAAGGUCCAAAAUAAAAUAGAUUGAAGGUGUUAAUUAGUAACCCUUUUUUGUUCAAUGCCUAGUUAAGUUGGUGUAGUAGUUAUAGCCUUUUUUGCACUGCGAAACCUCCCCGAAUUAAGAAUUUUGUGCUACUCAUUGUUUGAUUAUGUUGUUUUUUACCCGUUUUGGCGAUGUUAUGCUCAGCUUUCAGUCCACUAAUCUUUAAAUACCUAUCCUUUGUAACUAAAUCUAAGCAAACAAAAAAAAACUAAAAUUGUCGUGUCGUAACUCGUAAAUGAAUUGUCCAUGUCGCUUCUUCUUGUGACAAGUGAAGUAGGGAAGAUUAAUCCAGAAACAAUCAAGAGAAAAUUCUUAGAGCCAACAUGCAUCAACAGUACUCCACCCUCCGCAGUCUGCAUCCGCCAGCGGAACCACAAAAUGAAGUGUUGUGAUGAAUAUUUCAUCAGCUACUUAGUAGUCUAAGUGUCUAACCAACCAACGACAUGCAUGUGAGAAUACGUACCUUUUUUUCCAAAAAGAGACACGGUUAGAGCAGGCGAUAUCAUCCAAAAGUAACAUAUAUAUCUUGCUUCAGUUUUUUUGUUGUUUUUGUUUUACUACCCGUUCGUUAAUGGCUUCUAGUAUGCAUGAGACCAAGUCGAUCGUACCAUUUAACAGAGUGAGAGAGACACGUCCUGUCUUUCUGUCAUGACAUGCACAUCUUCUUCCGACAUGUGUGACACUGUCACAUGCACACACACCAAAUACUCUAUACAAUUUUCUGCUGUCAAAUUAACCCAAUCCGACCACCCAAAAAACCCAUUCGCCAAACCCGUAUUAUAUAAUUCCCUGUAAAUAUAACAAUAGAUCUGGUUAUCUGAAUUAGAUCCAGUUUGAGAAUUUUGAGGGAAUGAUAAUGGAACGGAGAAUGCUUUAGUUGUUUCCGCAUCAAUAUCUCUCUUUCUUCUGUUCAGCAUAUUUAAUUUUCAAAUCUUAGUUGAGUUAUUGGAGAAGGAACAUAUCCCAUAUUUUGAUAUAUACUGGGUAUCUUUUAGUGCCCUAAAAUAUUCUUGUUAAUAUGUUAUGUUCUUCAAACUAAAACAUAAUCCCUACCAACCCAAGUGUUUACAAGCAUAUAUAUAAGCCCAACUCGUAUAAAUCUCAAAAGUCAGCCUUUAAAGAGAAAGAAACGGGCCUCACAAACAAUUUUUAAACUAACCGAUUUUAUAAGUAAACGAGCCUACAUAUCUUUAGGAAUAAGCUAUUAAGCAGAAACUUAACUGCCUGUGUUUAUGGGCUUUGUUACAAAGUUUCACAUUCAUGGUCGUCACUAGCCCUGUCUUCCGCAUCAGAUUAAAAGAAAAUUAUAUAUCGUAUUGUACUUGAAGCUUAUCGUACGUCUUUUGUCAAAAUCAAUUCAAGUUCAAGCAAUCUUUAAAAAAAAAGAAGAUUAUCCAUGAUGCUUUUAAAAGGGUAUUGUCAAGAUUGACUUCAUUCAGGUACCUAGCUUGUUGUCUAUCUGUUGUUGUUGUAGUUAUUAAUAUACAUUGGAAUUUUCCAUAUCAUAUUCUCAAUAGUACCUUAUUUUAUGUUGCUUCGCUUUCUCCAUGAUUUUAUAUGAUUUGAUUCAUAUGGAGGUUGAAGGUGCAGAUACUUGGCCUUUUCUGCCCUUGUUAUCAUAAAUUUUGAUAAGUUACUAAUCCUCCUGUCUAAAAAAGUUACUUACUAUAUUAAGACGUCGUAAUGAGUGAUAACCAAUCAAAUUAAUUGACAUUUUUAACCGGUAAUCAAAGAUUCGUUCCUCAUUAAGCAGAGAACAUAAAUUUUGGGUUAUCACAAAAAAAAAAACCUGAUUAAUACUAUAUUUUCAAACAAUAUAUAAGUAUGAUUGGUGUUCACGAUAAGAAACAUGGAACAUGAGUAUGCAUGUGAAGGCGACAACUUCUAAGUUCUAACAUAUAUAACACAUAUAUACAAAUACGUACAAACCUCAGUUUCAUUGACAUAUACUAAACGAAUAAAAUAACGAUGAAUGUAAAAUAAGUAUUAUAUGAAGGAAGCGACUCUCUUGUCAUCCAACAAUGACCUUUCGACUGAUCAAACAGACUCACCCUUUGAACCCCAUCCACCUCUUAUAUAGCCACUGCUUUUAUUUUUGGCAUAUCCCACUUGCAUUGCAUCUAUCAUUUUAUUAUAUAAAGUCAUUCCUCCAAUAAGUAUUACUCUAACACAUGUAGGUCCUUUGUUCUUAAUUAAUCAUUUAAAUAACAUCAUCUGGACAUGAGUUGUAUACAGUUUAUUUGUAUUUCUAGCUGAAUAAUAUAUAGUUUGGUCCCGGAAAAAAAACAAAAACCUAGUCAGCAUUUUCGUAGUUUUUUCAAAGUGAGUGGCGAAAUUUGUGACAGAAUAGGUUCAUUUGUAUAAACAAAAUAACUAGUCGGUAGUGUUAGAAAAUUAAAGAAUUUUUUUUAAAAAAUCCUUAGCUCGUAUUUAGGUCAAAAACCAAUACCUGACUAUCAUGUUCUGAUUUUUUCUUAACCCUUCUACAACAAAUUAAAAAGAAAAAAAAAACUUAAAUUUUCAACUUGGUAUAUAUGACUUUGUAUCAUUCAUAAACUCAAAAAUAUAAAAUAUAUUUACAAACAAAUCUGAGUGUAUUUGUUUAUAUCAUUGUCCACUCUCUCUUUCUCUCUCUCUCUCUCACACACAUCCUUUUGGUAUAAGUAGAAAGAAGGAAACAUAUUUUUGAGUCUUUAUUGGGAAUCAUCAUGGCCUCGCUUCCGGUGAAGCCUAUACCUUCCGGCCACUUACAGCUUCUUCACCGGAAUCUCAUUACUCCUCCGUCAAUGAUAUCCGCCGCCGGUUUCAAAAGGCAGCAUAUCUUAGGAGUCCCUUCUUAUCUAUGUAUUGAUGAAUCUGUGAGAAACAUUAGGUCAUGGGGCACUCGUCGGCGGAUAAGCAAAAGCGCUGGUGUGUCUAUGCCGGUGGCUUCCGCUGAGGAUUUGCCGGCAGUUUCUUGGGAAUCGUGGAAGCCUGACAAGACCACCUUAGCUCCGUCGCUAAGUGACGUCAUUUGGCCUGCCGCAGGUAAUUUACUUAAUUAAAUCUUUGCACCGGAGACAUUAUUAUACAUGCUCACUUUGUUAGAGUUGAUAUCAAUUUAUAUUCUUCUUUUAUUUUUACGUCUAGUUGAUAUUAUUCGGAUUCUAUAUAUAUGCAUCUCAUUUCAUAUCAGGCAAAAAGUAUGAGUCCACGACUCCUAUUUUGGGGUUUAGAAAUAAAAAUAUUAUACUAAAUUAGAAAUGCUAAAAAUAACAUAUAUUACAGCAGGUUUCUUUGUCCAAAGACAAGGGAAUAGAGAGAGAAAGACAGAGUGAUAAUGUCUCUUCCAACAACCAAAUAGCUAUUGGUAUUUGGUAAUAGGAUAUGAAUCUAACUGUUUGAGGUUGACCAAUUCUCAAAUUUGAGGUUGACCAAUUCUUAAUUCGUAUAUAUAAUCUAUAUUCGUAGAAAUGUAAGGAAAAGGUUUAUGAAUUUCAUAUGGUUAUACAUAUGUAUUAGAUAAGUCAUAUAUAUAUAUAUAUCGUCGAUCAAAUCCUCAUUUAUUAAUCGUGGUCUUAUCAUUUUAAGUCAUGUUGUUAUAAUUUUGUGAACAUGCAUGCAAUUGAAUUAUUUGGUUUAUUAUAUGUCAUUUUACCUUCAGAUAUAUGCUCAUAGCCUUGAAUCUACAACCUCUUUAAUGUGUGUGUGUUCAAAAAUGUUAAUUAAAUAUUGGUAUGGGUAAAGGAGCGUUUGCGGCAAUGGCGAUAAUGGGAAGAAUAGAUCAAAUGUUAAACCCUAAAGGGAUCUCAAUGUCGGUUGCACCACUUGGUGCCGUCUCUGCCAUACUCUUCACCACCCCUUCUGCUCCUUCUGCUCGGGUAAAUUUCAUAAAUGCAAAUUCUCUUAUACUUGCGAUUGAAACGCUAAAACAUAGCUAGCCUUUAAACGCUAAGUAGUGUGUGUUGAUCAACAUGCAUGGUGAUAGGGUGCAUGUGUAUAUAUUUCAGAAAUACAAUAUGUUCGUGGCUCAAAUAGGUUGUGCAGCCAUAGGGGUGUUGGCGUUCUCCGUCUUUGGGCCAGGCUGGCUUGCCCGCAGCACCGCCCUGGCCGCUUCCAUCGCGUUCAUGGUCAUCGCUCGUGCCAACCAUCCACCUGGUAAUUCAAUAUCCCACUCUAGAUCUUCUUCUUUUUUCUGGAAGUUAUAUACUAAAACAUUGAACUUGAAGUACACAUUUCCACUCUCCACAUUGAUAAUAUUAUUCCCUUCUUUUUCAUGUAUUAAUGUAUAAUGCAUACUUAAUAUCGGAUUAAUAUGAAAUAGUUGAAUGAUAUAUAUGAUUUUGAAAAAAACAAACACAGCGGCGAGUUUACCACUGCUGUUCAUAGAUGGAGCAAAGUUACAUAAGUUGAACUUUUGGUACGCAUUAUUCCCAGGUGCAGCCGCUUGUAUCCUCCUCUGCUUCCUCGUAAGUUACCUAAUUCAUGCUUUCAAAAGUACAUGAUAUUUGCUUAAGUACCUCUUCAGUUCUGCUUUCAAACUAUAUAUUUGCUUAAUUAGAUAUUGUACUUUUUUUUUUGCAGCAAGAGAUAGUGUGUUAUUUGAAGGAAAACUUAAAAUUUUGAAAAAUUGGAAACAUGUUUAUAUAUAUGUAUACAACACAUAUUGGUGGAGGGGAGAUCGAUCCUGUGAAGUUUUUUGAUUCAUGUUUAGACGUUUACGUACGGUAGAUGCAUGGUCGACGUAUAUAAAUGAUUACAUACAUACAAAUAUAUAUACGUUUCCGCUAAACUUGUAAUGAUUUAUUUUCCAUUUUCUUGGUCUUUUACGUUAACCUCAAUUCAUUUAAAUAAUAGUAAUGUGUAUCAAUGUAUCAUCGUACAUAUAUAUACCAACACAUGGACAUGGUGGAAUGCAGAUUAAUACAGAAAAAAAAAAGUUAUUUGUUCUAAGAAGAUUAUACUAACGGUAUGAUUUACUUGGGGUUUUUGGAAUUCUUUCUCAAAAUGUUAAUUAUCCUUCCUUGUGCUGUGAUUUCAAUUGUGACUUUUAUGGCAAGACCACUGAAUAUAUAAACUAUUUCACAGGCUUCGUAUACGUUAACUUGGAAAUUUGCAGGAUUAUCUCUUGGUUAUCAACAAAUUUCUUAUCGAAACAAACAUAUAUAUGUAAUGUUAAAUUCAUACUUAUCGAAACAAGUAUAAAUUCAUUUUUUUUAAAAAGACUCUAUAAUUAGUUUGUUGGUGGUUUUAUUUUGCAGUCAACACUCUUUUCAUAUUUUAGUCAUUUCACAUUCGAAACUAGCCAUUACCGCUGCUUUUACGAACGAAUACUAAAAUUAUCAGUCAAUGGAUGCUAAGUUUAUUUUGACUACCUUCUUUAAUAUUAAGAAGUAUAUGUAUGUUCUUUGUCCCAAAAAAAACGAAGUAUAUGUAUGUUCUUGUUCAGUUACUGGGAAAUCUUAAUUAGUAUGUAUAUAAUUAAAACCAGUUAUGCUAGCUUAAAGCUAAUUUAGCUAUUCACAGAAAGUUGUGUAAAGCGGAAAGCAAAAGACACCAACCAUUUCAAAAACCCAUAGUGCAGAGAAAAGUUGGGCUAUUCUAUUAAAUAAACGGAUUAGGCCAAAAAUAGAUAUUGAAAAAUAGAUGUCAUUUGUUUUGGUUACUCAAGGCACUUCACUUAGACUUGGCCUAUUCUCAGUUUCAGUGCUUCUGGUUCUCUAUGACUUUUUGGGUUUAUAACAUUGAAAAAAUUGGUCUUCACCUGAAACCAUUAACCAAGUAAAAGGUAUCUGAUCAAUGUCUAUCAUGACAGAGUUUGGACAUGAAUAAUUCUUCACCCUUACCAUAUGUAAACCCGAUUUAUUUACAUUUCAAGACUGUUGAAGCUGACAAGGAAUGGGUAGGCAAAUCAGUCAAGAGUUAGCGUUUUGAGUACAAAAUUUCCACAGGCUCAUUUCUUUCUCUCAUCUCCGGGAUGGAGAUAGAUCAGUCGAGACAGGUGGAACCCCACCAUUCUCUGCAGUCUCCAGAGCGGUAUCUGUGUGGACUGGGUGGAUUAGGGAUUGAAGUCUCAAAAAGUAGCUCUCGCUUUGAAGUUGGCUUCUUAUGUAUCUAGCUUCUGUCGUUUCUGUGUUCACUUGUGGGGGUUGUUCUGUUCCUGAGCUCUGGAGGUUGGAUAAUGCGCUGAGAUCAAGGUCUGGGAAAACCGAGCACCGGCACCGGGGACAUUUCACAUUUAAACGCAGCCACUGGUCUAUGCACUCCACAUGGAAAUUAUGGGCGCAAGGUAAACCUCUAACCUGUAAAAUUCAGACAAAUUCGGCUCAUAUAAGGAAUGCAUUGAGACAAGAAAAGCACGCAAGCACAGUAUGGAAACAAGGCGCUAGUAUUCAAUAUCUACCAGAAAAAUAUAAAUAAGAAGUUGGUUAAUCCCUAGCAACGGAAAAUUUUUAGAAACUGAUAUUUAGUACCUCAUGGCCGAUAUGGAACUCCUCUAAGCAGAUUAAGCAUUCACCGCAGUCAUCUGGGACAGCUUUUAAUCUGAACUUUGGAAGUUCUUGAAUGAGUGCCUCGACAGCUUCAGUCUGUUUAUCAAAGCAUCAAGCAUUAGACGAUUGGAAUCUUGAGACAGAGAUAUGUUAAAAGUAAAUUUGAACAUAAUCACAUCCUGCCACUAAUAUAUUCUUUGACAUCAUUGGCAAAGAUGAUUUCGGCUUCUCUACAAAAUAUGUCCAUAGGUAUUGGAAACAGACAUAUUUAUGUUAGGGAUAAGUUACUAAAUGCUUAGGGUGCUGACAGUAAAGGACCAGACUUGCCUGAGCUGGAGUCAAGUAAAGUCCAGGAUGGUAUGUAGCAGCAUCUUGACUUAUGCCUCUCAUCUCUUGGCCUGCGGCUUCAAAUGCCCAGUCAGGUACCCUAAUCAUGUCAACUAAAAUCUGGGUUCAAGAUAACAGACAUUAAAAUGUUACUCAGAAGUGACAGAGACUAACUACUUACUAGAAGUUCUUGGAAACAAAAAUCAUAAUGACAAACUACGUAAAUGUGUAAACUGUAAAGGAAGUGAAGUUGAAAAAUAAGAUCCUGAAUCCUACCCCGAACUCUGAAAUCGGAAUACCCUGCUGAGCACGUAAUACGUGUACCUGCCUUCGUGUCAACCACUAUCAAGUAAACUCAUAUUAAGUGGGGUCCCUUCUUCAAACCAACAAAAAAAGAAAGCUUGAUCAAAAUCUACCUUUCUGACACAGAUGCAAGCAAUGCAGAGGAGGCCACAGUAGCUGAACAUCAGCCAAAUAAGAAAACCCCAUUUUUGGCCUUCUUCAGGUAACUAUCACAAGAGAAUACAAACUAAGUUACUAACUCAGCAACAUAUUUCCAACAAGAAUAAUCAUAUACCAUGAUCGUAAAAAACGCUUACACAGAUUUUCGCCCUAGAGAACCAUAGUGAACCGAUUACAGUCCAAGCCCACAAAAAUGGAUACAGCAGCAGAGACAGGACAGAUAGGACUACCACUCUUCCACAAAACAUGGCGUUCCGCUGUUGACUUCCAAAAUCCCUAAAAGAUGUCCAUACCAGAAAUUACGUCACAUAAAUAACCAGAUAUUCAUAAAACUUUGCUACCUAGGGAGAUAGAGAAAUGUUGAAACUAGCUACUUCUGAGAUCAAGCUUGAACUCGAAGAGCCUAUUUUGACUGGAGCUACAAAGAAAUUCUAUGCUUCCCAGUUAGCUUAUAUUUAUAAUCAAAUCCUUCUCAAUGAAUUACAUGCCUAUCCAAGGAAAAAGGAUAGCAAAGACAAGAUUUCGCAACAGUUUCGUCUUUAGAUAACAACUCUUGGUAGUCAGGGAGAAAGAUUCCAAAAGGUAAGAACCUUCAAAUUAACGAUAACUCUAGGACUAGGAGAUUUGGAUGGAACUUACAAGCCAAGUCCAGCAGCAAGACCAUUGUCAACAAACAUGAAGACUCGGAAGAUAAACACAGUGGUGUAAUCGACCUGAAGUCAUAGAGACAAACAAAACCGUGAGAGCAAAAUACCAAAAUCUAAAGAUUCCAAGGAAAGGAACUGAAGAUGACAAUAAGCAAAGAGCAACAAAAACUGAACAGAGGUGCACCUACCACUAUCCAUAUAUGCAAAGGGUAUUCACACGAAAGAUAUCUCUUCCAAUUGACAGCUACAAUGAUGCUACAACGCAAAUAAACAUUAAGGAAACAAAACCGAAAGGUUAUCUAGAUCACACCUUAAAUAAACCCUAGCUAAACAAAAAAUUUCAGAACAAGAUUUCAGACUAGUUCCUCUACUCCAAGAGAAACAAAACCAAAAUCAAAUCUUCAAAAGAUCAAAAGAAGAAGAAGAAGGAGAUGUAAAAAUUAUUCUACUUUUCCUUCUGAUUAACCCAGCAAUACCUAAAAGCUAAAAAAAAAAAAAGUAUCUUGUUCGUCGUAUUCGUAUGUAUAAAAGUGAAGAAAUCAUCUCCAGGACUGAGAAUUCUCAGCUCGAUCCAAAGCAAGAACAAAACUGUAUACCCAAAAAGAAGAAUGAAAAUAAAUAUCGCGGAAUCAAAAGGAUACACACUAGUCGCAAGCAUCGACAAGAAGAACCCAUCAUACCUGCACAAUUUAACAACAACAAAAAAAAAUCAGAAACCCCUAAAACUCGCAAAAAUGGGGAAUCGAUGAUCCAAAAAAUCGAAAUCUGUCUCCUUUAGAUCGACCCAAGUGAAGAGAAACUCACCACUUGAAAUCGACACCUCUCAUCGCCAUUAGAGUGAGGUAGAGGUGGAGAAAAAGAAAAAAGAAAAAAAAAAAAGGAAGAGAGUGAAAUUUUGAGACAAAGGAUAAGAAAAAUGGCGGAAUCGAUUGUCGAAAGCGUGAGCUGAUUCAGUAUCUAAGGGGAUUAGGAUUGAGAGUGAGAGAGAAAGCGAGAAAAGGGAGAAGAUUUGGAGCCAACAAGUUGCAAAAUUGCGAUGAAGAAACUUAAUAGAGAGAAACAAAACUUCUGGCUCAGGAAGAAGUAAUCACGAAUUACGUCAUUUUUUAUCAGGCGUUCAACAAUUUUUCGUCACUUGUUAGUAGUUAAACCAAACCUUUAAUCAAAAAUGGAGUUAAACAAAUACUAAACGUAAUAGAUUAUUAGUGUUUGUACUAAUUAGGUUCAUGUAUUUUACAGCAAAAGGCCAAAAAGUAAUCUAACAAUACAUCUCCACUACUGUAUUUUUAUUAUAAAUAAAUUCUAGGUAUUUCACCAAAAAUACGUUGACAAUAUUAUUUUUUUAACUAGUAAAUUGCAAUAAAAAGAAUAAAAAUAUAGUUUUAAAUACACACAUUAAAAUAAAAAUACAAAACGACAGUUUUUAUUUAAAAAUAUAUAUAUUUAUAUAUCUUUUAAAUUUUCUUGUGAAACAGAACGAAUAUUGGCUUUUGACAUAAUAAAAAAAAGAUAAUUAAAAACUACAUUUGAAUUCAUUAUGAUUUAUCUUGAAAUUCUUUUAGUUUAUGGUUAAGUUCUAGUUUAAAAAUACUAUAUAUCUUCUAGUACCGCGAUAAAGUUAUUGUUGCAAUUAUCAGUUUCCACAUAAACCUUAUGAAAUCAAGUGAACGCACGCAUGUGUAAGUGAGUGUAAAUGUGUAACAGCUAUGUGAUAUGGAAGAAGAAAAAACAUAACAGUAAGAACAUGAAAACACAUUCAUUUAAAGUAUCAUAAUCCUUUACUCAAGUUACAAACACUGGCUUUAAAUUUUAUUACUGUUAAACUUUAUGGAGUCUCUCUCUAUCUUUUGUUUUGAGGAUUUAUGAUGAGACCACAAAACUGCAGAGGUCAUCAGAUCCAGGCAGGCUUAUUCAAAGCAGUGACGACUGCCUUGAUCUGCAAGUAAUUGUUGAGACUGUAUAUGCCUUUCUCUCUGCCAUUCCCACUCAUCUUGUAUCCACCAAAUGGAAUGGCUGCGUCAAAGACGUCGAAGCAGUUCACCCAAAUCGUGCCAGCUUUCAGAGCCCUCGAAACCCUGUUUGCGGUGUCCAAACUCUUUGUGAAAACCCCUGCGGCUAGUCCGUACCUCGUAUCGUUCGCCCUCUUGAUCACCUCAUCCACAUCACUGAACACAACAUUACAUUUUUGGUUUAGGCCUUAUGAAAGUAUAGCAAAGGAUAUUGUGACUUAUUUGCUUACUGGAUGGGUUUUUUGUAAUUGAGAUUAGCCUGGUCUUACCCGGCUACACAUCGCUACUAUUCUACUAAACACAUAGCACUCUAUGACUCAUGAGUGCGUGCGUACCUGAACUUCAAGAUUGAUUGAACUGGACCGAAAAUCUCGUCUUGAGCAAUAAGCAUGUUGUCCUGAAUUUGUUUAAGAUUAAUGCCAAGGAGAAUUGAAACAGAAGAACAUUAAAGACGCCUUGGAAGAGUUUUCUUUUUAUACCUUAACAUUAGAGAAAACUGUAGGUUGGAUGAAGUAACCUUUGUCACCAAUCUGAUCACCACCACAUUCAAGAGUAGCAUUGCUUUCGACACCUGACCUUAUGUACUUCAUCACUUUCUCGAAUUGCUUCGAGUCAAUCUAUACAUAUUUUAAAAAAACCCAAUCACAUAACCAAUCAACAAAAAGAAAAAGGCUAAACUCUAUAUAUUGCAAGGAUUGUGUAUGUGUUACCUGGGGGCCCUGUUCAAUGCCUUUCUUGAAAGGAUCACCAACCACACGUUUCAAUGCGCGUGCCUUUGAUUUCUCAACAAACUCAUCAUACACUUUCUCAUGAACAUAUGUACGAGACCCCGCACAGCAACAUUGGCCCUACAAAACCAUUACUCAAAAUUAUCUCAGAAGCUAGCUAAGAUAUUGAGCCAGCUUAGCUCAAGGUAUAUAUUUUACUACAGACAAAACCUGGUUGAAGAAGAGGGCAAAGUGCGCUUGCUCUACAGCUUUAUCGAUAUCAGCAUCUUCGAAUACAAUGAACGGUGAUUUCCCUCCAAGUUCCAGAGUUACUGGCUUGAGAUUGCUGUUAGCAGCCAAGCCAAGUAUAAUUUUGCCCGUAUCAGUCGAUCCUGUGAAAGCAAGCUACAGGAAAAAUCACACUAUAACAUAAGUUUAGUUUCUUAUAGAAGUCAAGAGCAAGAAAAUUGAUAUAUCUACCUUGUCUACAUCCAUGUGACUCGCGAGGGAAGCACCCGCUGUUUGACCAAAUCCAGAAACUAUAUUCAGAACACCGGGUGGAAGACCCGCCUAUAGUAAAUUUGAAGAAACAUUGUUACUCAUAGCAACAAUGGAAAGUAGAAAACGAAUAGAGAUUCUAUCGCAUGUAUCUUACUUCAAGUAAAAGCUUUCCGGCAUAGAAAGCGGUAAGAGGUGUUUGUUCAGCUGUUUUGAGGACAAUGGUGUUACCACAAGCAAGAGCAGGACCAACUUUCCAAGCAAACAUCAAAAGCGGAAAAUUCCAUGGAAUGAUCUGUCCAGCUACACCUAUUGGUUCAUGCAAUGUUUGGACAUGAUAGUUUCCAUCAGCUGGAACAGUUAGUCCAUGGAUCUUAUCCGCCCAUCCUACACACCAGAGCAGAACCAAGAAUGUUCAUUCACAGAAACUAACACCAAAAGUAAGAGAACUUCACAAGAAUUCUCAAGGUUAAGUUAGUGUUAUGAUACCAGCAUAGUAACGGAACAAUCUGGCGAACAUUGGAAUCUCUACGUUCUUGGAUUGUUGGUAAGGUUUGCCAUUGUCCCAUGUCUCUAGAGACGCCAGCUCUUCACUGUGUUUCUCAACCAAAUCUGCAAACCUCAGCAUUACUCUUGACCUUUCCUGAAACCCAGAUCAUCAACCAAAUGAGAACAUAUCACACUAAAGUUCAUAAAUAUAGAGUCCCAAGAAGAAUAUCUAUAAACAUACAUAAGCACUCAUUUUAGGCCAAGGUCCUUCAUCAAAGGCCUUCCUUGCAGCUUUAACCGCCCGAUUGAUAUCUUCAGCAUCGCCUUCAGCUACUUGCGCAAUGACUUCACCUGUCCGCGGAUCAAGUGUCGGAAACGUCUUACCUAAAAUCAAAAAUUCGAAACAUCAACUAUUACCGCUCACUGGAAUCUCAAGACUCGAAAUUUGCAAUUUUCCCAAUACCAUCAACUUGGCAAAGAUAUAAAAAUGAAAACUUUAAUCACCAGAAGCAGCAUCAACGAAGUUCCCAUCGAUAAGGAGCUGAGUAUGAGAAACUUGAACAGAGGGAUUAAUGAUUUCCUCAGCAGCAGAAGAGGUUCCAAAUCUCCUUAAGAUCCCUCCAUUGUAACAAUUCCUCCCUGAAAAUAUCGUCAUGUUCAUAAAUCAUCAUACCCAAGAUUCACCAAUCAAACACCAAUAGACCCACAAAUCAAAGAAUCUACUUUUCAGUCUCCUUUCAUUGGAAAUAACGUUAAUUCGAGGAAGAGUUGGCAUAAGCUCAGUGAAGAAGUCUAAUCAGAACAAACUAAAUCUAGUAUAGUUUUGAAACAUGAAGAUACUUUGAGAGAUCCACUGAAAACAGAGACAUGGAACAGUGAUAUGUUAGUAUCUAUGGGAUUAAUACCUUGAGAACGAAACAGUAAGGGAGAUGAAGCAGACAAAGAUCGAGAUAAUAGAGAAGACACUCUACGAGCCGCCAUGGAUGGAUGGAUGCACACAACCAGACGAGCUUCAAAGCUUUUCAAAGCGUCAAAGUUCUUAUCUUUUUUUUUCUUCUUGGGAUUUUCUUCCUCUCAAGUCUCUCUCUCUCUCUUAAAUGAGGAAGUUUAUAUUUGUGUGAUUUGAAGGAGAAAAGAAUCCAACGGUCUAGAUCUUACGCAAUCUCAUACACACAUGUCGCUUAACUUGCACUCUCUUUGCCUCGUGUUGCCGUACUUUGAAUGGCUAUUUUUUGUUUGUCAGUUUUCAAAUAAGAACUGUAUACUAUAAUAUGAAAAGACAAGAGAAGCAAUUCAACUAAUAAGAUAAAAUUCAAAAUUGUCUUGCCGUGAUCACUGAUUUCUAUGUAUGUGUGUGUAUUCAUAUUAAUUAGUUUGAAAUUAUUUUUGUUGUUUUUUUUUGUUUUGUGUGUGUGGAAAUUAGUGGAUGAAUGAUAAUGAAAAAUGAAAUAGUUGCAUGUUAUGGUGUGAUGUCGUUUUCUAAGAGGUGGUUGUGUCAUCUACUUGGUAUGUUUUUUUUGUUUUUCCCAUCUUUUUUUGUUGAUAGUGUUUUCCACAAAUAAAGAAAUAUUCUUUUCAUUUUUAUAAAUAAAUAUGAAGAUUUAUUUAUUUUGGUCAGAAAUAUGAAGAUUUUGUUGAUAAACAUUUUGUUUGACUGCAGAGGCAAAAAUUGUACUGCCGAAAAGGUUAGUAAUCAAGAAAUGAUACAACUUUGUAAAAUUAUAUGUGUCAUUCUCAUUAUUUUCCCCUAAAGUAUUGUCAUUGUCCAAAUUCACUUUAUAAUUAAUUAUAUAUAUUUUAAAAGUCACCUAAAAUGUGUUGAGAAACUUAAAAGUCCAUUUAAAUCGACGGUGUGAUGUUAUCAGUAAAACCUACUAGGCUAGCUACAGUAUAAUGAAAGAAGUCCAUACAAAUAAAGGAUGUAGGAGCCAUGACUGAGCUGGAUAGAAAUUGACAUAUAACCAACCGAAACUAUUGUAUUUACUUUUUUUCUGAAUAUAAUGUUAAAUUGUUUUUUUUAAAAAAAAUAAACGUUUUUACUAGUGUAACAAGAGUUGAAAAUUUUGUUGAAAAAUAUUUAAUUUAAUAACAUUACCUUUUAAGAUUAACUAAGUACGAGAUUGGAGCCACCAAUUGAAACCUGCAUCAUACCUCUUAUCUCCCAUUCUUCGGAUAGCAUGAAUCCAAAGCAUGAAUCUGAUUUUUAAUUUGUUUAUCAAUUCAUUCUAUGAUUAUUGAUGCUGAGUGAGACGAGUCUCCAUGCUUCCUUUAUGGAGACUAUUUACUUUAAAUCUUGCAUCUGCAUGUAAUCAUGUUUCUUAAUAAACCUAAUUCUAUUUUUGGUUACAUCAAAUUAGAUCAGUGUCUGAAAAUCUUAAAUGCAUUUGUCACAACAACAAAAUUAGAAAAAUCCUGGAUCCUCUGGUUUAAACAUUUUAGGCAUCUUCAAAGAUGGAUCAUCAGGAUCAAUUCUUGAAGACCCUCUUUGGUUCCCUAAAACACCUCUCUUCGUAUUAGCCGCAAACUUAGACGCUAAUAUCGUCGCACUCAAAUUCUGAUUAUUGCUGCUGUUCUCCUCUCCGUUACUACUCUCCGGCAUGGUCUCAUCGUAUUGAUAGUCUUCAUCAUCAUCAUAAUAGUAGUCCUCUCCUUCCUCUUGCCUUGCUAAUUCCAUUGCUAACUUCCUCUUCACGUACCGUCUCCACGCAGCUUGUAUAAAACAAGUUCCCCAUGCUCUCCAUUGAUGUGAAUAGUAUCUGAACAGAGUCAAAACAUAAAGAUCAAGAAACCUUAUAGCGUAUCAAUCAAGAAACCUUUAUUGCUUUUGAGACAAGAAACGUAUGAUUACCUGAAAGCAUGUUGGAGUUUCUUGCUGUGGAGACGUCUGAAUUGGUUAGCUACGAACUUCAAGUCCUCUGCUCGGAGAGCGAAAGCUUCUACCUCAGAGAGAGUCUUAACGGUUCUAGUGGACAAUGGCAGAUUAACAGUAAUAUUUGGCAUUAAAGCCCAAGUUAAAAGUUCUUCACCGCAGAAAUCUCCUGGUCUAAGCGUGAUGGAGUUAAAAAACCCUGACCGUCCACCAUCUGUAGUUGAACUCUCCACCUGACCUCUAAUGAUGAAAAGCAUCUCGUUUACAGGAUCGCCUUCACGCGUCACAUACGUGUCUUUUGUGUUCAAGGAUGGAACUAGACGCUCACAUAUCGCAUCCAAGAGCUGGUCAUCCAUCUGUGCGAAGAACGGCACCUGAAAAAAUCAAAUGAACAUAAAAUUUAGGGUUUAUAACUUGAACUGCAAAUAAUAAAAAUGUGGUGUUUCCAUGGUAUUGCAUACUCGGCGAACGAGGGCAAGACAGAGAUGUCGUUGGAUCUGGCGACGAAGAUCCAGCGGUAGAGCCCGUAGGAUAGCUUCUUCAUCGACUCCACGAGUCGUUAGCCAUUUGUAUUGGACGAAUCGCCUUACACGCUCUUGUAACUCUUCUGGCAAUUGCCUAUGUCGCAUCCAUUCCUCUGUGUCUCUUCUUCUGACUCUCCAUUCAUCUAACCUAGCCGUCGUCGAUUGUAGAUAGUUCUUCAAGAAUUUGGAAAUCAUUUAGACUUCAUUAAAAGCUAUGGAAAGACCAUAAAUUUAUUAAGUUACCUGAACAUUUCCAAUGAGAUGAGAGAAGAAAACUAGCCCCGCAACACAGAUGAAACAACUGAAUAUAGUCUCACUACUCAGUGUACUCGCUGCAAGACUUUGUCCAUAAGAACUACACAAACCAAAUCAAGGAUCGAUUAACUAAUGGCGGCGACUACGGUUUUAUUUGAUUCAAGACUGAUGAAAUUUAACCUAACCUGAGGUUACGAAGACCCCACCAAAGACAGUAGAAGUAUUUAUCAUAGAAAGGAGAAGAGGUGACAUCAUUAGUGAACGCAUCACCGAACAUACCAAACUGAAAAUGCUGGUCAUCGUCAUUGCGUGCAUCACAAUUUGAGAGAACCCGAGUAAUCCGCAUCCAAGCUUGUCUACCUGGAUCUUGCAAUGAUCCACAAUCUAGAAACAAGAGCGUACAAGAUGGUGAAUGCGUUGCGUUCAUCUCUUUAAUGCACUCUCUUCUCCAGCAUUCAUGCUGUCUUUGGAUCGAUAAAACGUACCAAACCGAUCCAAGAACCUAAAAGGAAAACCAAGUUGUGAAACAGAGAUAUUUUGAUGUUAUGUAUUGAGAAAGAGAAAUGGUUGCUUACGUGGCUCACAAGCAAGUAGAGGAUGAGAUUGUAUGCUGCACCAGACCAUGCUGUUUUGGCUGCGACACCGGUUGCUUUAAUGAUCCUUCGGUUGAGAGGAAGCAUGACGACGAAGCGUGGUACGUACUGUAUCAGGACGAUCAAGGAAAGUGUGUGGUUCUGAUGAGCUGCGUAUCUGAAUUCUCCAGCAUUUGGUAUCACAAACCAAAUCAUUAUCUGAGAAAAAAAAAUAGAAAUUUUACAAUUUCAGAACAUAAUAGUUUCUUGAUUACUAAUGUUUUCACUGAUUACACGAUUCCAUAGAAAUGUGAUUUAUGUUAACUUUUAAUGGAGUUAUCCAUAACGAAAAGAAAAAGAAAAAAAGAAUUGAACCUGAGGAAGAGGAAGCGAGGCAGCGAGGUCAAUGACGAACUCAGUUUUAAGGUAGCGAAUGGCAAUUUCACGACGAUCCAUGACAAGCUCUCCACGACCAAAGACUCUUGAUGAUUUGGAGACAAAGGCGGUUUUGAAUUUGAGGAAAAUGUGGAUGAGAAAGGAAAGAUCAGCUAGGGUUCGGAAAAAGGUGACGAGGAUACCAAAACUGACGUCGAUGGACAUACAUGCGGUUCCGGCUUGGACAAUGGGGAGAUAGAAAUAAAGAGGAUCGAGAAAGAGAGCGAGAAGGCAUGUGACGAGGAAGAUGUGGUUCCAUCUCGUGAUUAGGUCACCUCUCGGAUCGAGGGUUUUGUUACGGAGUUCAGAGAAGAUGGAUCGGCGGCGUUGGUUGUUAGGGUCGUUGUUGUUAUGACGUAGAGAAAAUGCCGUCGGAAAAUUGCGGAAGCGUGCCGAGGUGUAAAGAUGGAGAUUGCUCAUUUGGAGUUUGCUUGUGUUUGAAGUUAUGGAAGAGAGAGAUUUGUGGGAGUGGGAAGAAUGAAAUGAUGUUGGAGACAAUUAAGGACAGAAGAAAGAAAAGACUCUGUUUCUAUGAAAUGCUAUUUUAAGUUAUCAAUUAGUAUAUUUUUUUUUUUCCUUUUACAUAAUGUUAUGUGGUUAUGUUUUGUAAUAUGUGUGUUAAGUUAAAUUUAAUAAAUAUUUCAAAAAGAUGUUUCUGCGUAAUAAAAAUUCAUUAUGGCCAAAUGUUUAAAACUAAACUCGCAUUUGAAUAAGGAUGGGUAAUUCAUUUCUUUUCGAAAUAUAUAGUAUGACUUAGUCUAUGAUUGCUUCUUAAAAUAUAGAGUGCAGCCAAUGGUUUGAUUACAGCUAAAGACAGUUUCGUGUUGGCUUUGUAUUAUUACACCAAAACCCUUCAACUCUGUUUUGAUCCUUUCGUAAUGGAAGUUGGAAAAAGAGAUCUUGAGCCGGAGACCACCACCUCCGAUCCACUUGUUGGUGAGUCUUCUUGCGGUUCUUGCCUCCCCGGCUUCCGAGCCAACGCCGCUAAAUCCUCAUGGUGGCAGCGAAUUCACAGCAACCAUCACCAUGAGCCACGGUGGUGGGUUCGAGCGUUUCUAAAGAUCCGAGAAUGGUCAGAGGUCGUGGCUGGACCACGGUGGAAGACUUUCAUCCGUAGAUUCAACCGAGAUCGACGCCAAGGCCGCGACUGGGACGAUGCGGCCAAAUUCCGAUAUGAUCCUUUGAGUUACAACUUGAGUUUCGAAGAUGAAUACAAAGACGACGAAGCAGGAUUUGGUGGACUCCGAAGCUUCUCGAUGCGUUACGCUUCUGUCCCCGUUGUUUCUAGUAAAGCUCCCGCCGUUAUAAGCGUUGACCCCGUGAAACGAUGAUGACUCUUCUUGGGAAGAUCGAGUUCUCUCGCGUGAGUUGCGUUUCCUCCUUGUUUAUUUGUUUACGUGAUCAACUUUAGUUAUUUCUUUACGUGAUCAACUUUAGUUUGGUUUGAUUUAUUAUUUAUGGUUGAAAUUUACUCUAUGUAUCUAUGCGUCAUGCAUGUAACAUGUCUAAAUAUUUUGAUUCUAUGAUUGUAUGAUGGUGUUGCAUGUCCAAGCUAGACUCCACUUAUACCACCUCUGUUGGUGUAGUAAUAGCAUCAAAAUUAUUUCUCUCGCCUCUUUGAUUUCUUCAUUACUUAUGUAUGCAUGCACUUUGUUCUGCUCUGGUUGUCUGUUCUAACCCUGAGAGACAAACACUUUCACUUCAAUGCUCCCAGACAAAUAGAUACCAAAGUCAUAAUAUCAUUGAACAAUAUAACUAAAUAAGCAACUUCCAAAUAGGAAUGAAUCCGUGUAUAUUAUUUAUUUUCGCAUUAUCUAAUCACAAAACCUAUUCCUGACGAUUUCAUGUAUGUAGUAGUAAUAGUAAGUAGUAACUAGGAAAACAAACUAAUUACUCAAGUAUUGUCUCCUUGAGGCAACCUACAUGUUUGUUUAUUAAACCCGAACCAUAAUACUCUCUUCUUCUUCUCCAACCAAAACCAUUGACAUAGACAUACUCUCUUUCGUACUACACAGUACGUUAGAACCUAUCCAAACCACCAGAGUCCUGUUUUACCGAUUUACACUCGUGUACGGAGCAGUUAUUACCGGUGUUUCCCUCACGUGGAGACGAAGCCAGAGACACCUCAAAAUCUUCAUCGCAUUCAAGAUAAUGAUGUGUGCCCAUUGAGUAACACCUCCUUGGCACGCCCAUCCCAAUUUCACCUCUGACUUCAUGCCGUUGGCUUUGACUUUGAAUCCCGUUCGUACUUUUGAAUCUCCCGAGACGAACAGAGAAGACUCUUUUGGAAAUAGUUACUUUUCCUUCGUUGACCUGCUGAUGCUCGGACAAGGGGGCAACAGGAGUCUCGGCGUGGUUGAAGCAGAAGCUUGAGGAAUCGAAGUUUGCGGUUGAGAGUGACCGUCUGCAGAGAGGGCAAGUGGAGUUGGAGAGAAGCCACAUGUCGAUACAGUGAAGAUGGAACGCAUGGCUACAGACAGGGAGUAACCUAAGCUUGUCUGCGUCAGAAAACUCACUGAGACAUACGGCGCAAUCGAACGACUCUUUCAGACUCAUGGUCACAUCACCGUAAAGGAACACCGGAAGUGCAUCAAUAGCUGUCUGGUCUAGACCAGAGUCGUGGAGGAAGAAGAGGUGUUGGAGCUGAGGGGAGGAGGAAGACGAGAGAUCUGGGCUGGGGUUGAAAUGGGGAAAUGGAAAGAAAGUUGAGGACUUACGGAGAAAUUUGAAAAUUAUGUGGAGGACACCGAGAAAAACGAUGACAAGAGCAAGAACAGAGAUGACCAUACAUAAAAUAGAGAUUAUAGAGUUUGAAGAUGAAUCUUUCUGGUUCAGAAGAGCUAUUGUCGCUGCAGAUGAAGACUUAGGUGAAAGAGCUUCUGUUUCAUGGAUUACAGACAAAAGCAUCCUACACAUUUUGGUGUUUGAAGAGAAGGAACGCUUUUGAGUUUAGCUCAGUGAUCAGUCUCUAUAAAAUAUAUAGUAAUGAGAUAAAAAGCUGAUAGAGAUUUCACACAUGCUCUGUCUUGUUUAUUUCCCAGAUCAAGACACGCUUUAAAAGUAUAAAAUUUUGAAGGCGACUCAUUGUCCCCUCUUUUUAUGUUGGUGACUGAUUUGACAUGAUUUUAAGCUAAACCAUAAUCAUUAUUGGCUAAAAAGUCCAUAAAAUGUUAUUAGGAUUCUCACAUUUAGAAGUUCAAGAACCACAAUAAGCUGGAUGAUUAAGAAAACUACACUUAUGGAAAACAAAGUUCUACUCAGGCCCACCAUUGUCUUCCACUUAGAUGUUCUUAAAUCAUUAAACAUAGCUUGCCUUCUAAUACAUAAUCUAUUUCACUCCCACUCAUUUGUUAUUAUAUAUCUUGAAAACAGAGUCUAUGUAAAUACUUUUGUGAUGAUGAUUCAUUGUCCCAUGUUUCACAAACGAGCUUUCAAGAAGUCAAAACUCAAUCAUAACUGUAAGCAAAUACAUAUCACAUAGCUGGUCCGCUGAAAGAUAAUGAGGUUUUGGCAGAUAGUAAUAAAGAUAAAUCUUCUAAGAAUUUUCCUCAAAUCAAUUGAUCAAGAUAUAACGAUACUUUUCAGUUCUUUAAUUUAUUCAAAUCAUGAAAUGUGCCCUUACAAGUUAUAAAUCCUAGCAAGAACACAGAUUUCUACACUCAGAGCGAGAGCGAGAGCACACACACCUUUGCCCGCUGAUAUCCUGAGUGUCAUCUCAAUUAUGUGAAAACGUUUUAACGAACUGAGUAGAUGUAUAGCUCAUUUCUUCCAUGGAUUAUCACCGUAGUAAUAGGCAGUUCCAACCAUUAAAGCAACGGUAGCACCCUGGACGACCACCCUAGCUCUCAUCAAAACCUGACCCAUCUGAGAAUUGCCUCUUCUGAAACUAAUCAGCCCAGCCGUAAGCACUCCCGCAGUCAUAAGUGCGCCUACAAUAGUUUUAUUUCACAAGAAAAUGAUCAAAUACUGAAUGUCUACCAAUAUAGACCAAGACAGUAUUGGAAAGCCAUGAAGAUUUUGAAACACUCUGGUCUCUGUCAAUGUUUAUAGAAACCUAAUCAUGGCUUUGCUACCUAAGCUCCAAGUAACAAAUUCUCAUACAAUUUGCUAAAGGAACAACCUUCAAAGAUGUAUGUUGUCUCUAUAUAGCUAGCUCUACCAUCUACCAUGAAACUUGAGAUUCUUUACAGGCAAGAUCAUACAUACCGACACAAAAUUGUAAGAAAACCACAAAUUGUACCUCUAUUUCAUAACUUAUUAAUGAUUUCAGAAUUGUUGGGAUCCCAAAAAUUCUGAAUUCACAUGAUUCUGAUUAUGAAUCUAAAGGGAACAAAUUGUUGUUCAGAGAUUAAAAUAAAAUAAAACCCAGAAACUACAUUAGAAGCAAUCUAAUAAAGCGAACAAGGAAAUGGGUCAUGCUAUAAACAUUUCGAAAUCGCGAAAAUUCAAAAUUCGAUCUCAGUGAAAUUGAGAUCAAAAACGAACCGAGAGGAACGAGAGGGUUCCUGUAACGCUUCUUAUCCUGGAACAGAUCUUCCAUGUCAGGUUCUACCGCACUCAUCUUCUCCACAACCAUCAGUGCGAUAAACCACAGAGAGAAACAAAACUAAUAAAAAAGAGAGAGUAGCGAAAGUAAUUAAGAGCAGUCACGCGUGGCCUGUUCGUCACCAGAGACCGUGCGACGGCCAGCCGAUUCUAUGAAACGGGUCGGGUCGUGUCGAUGGUUUUCAAAAACGGGUCAGAUUCGAGAGUGUUUAAAACACCCAAAAAGGGAUUUAAAAAGCCCAGUGGGCUCGCUUCUGAUGCCCACGUCCGAAAUAGCAUGUAAUAAUUACAAUUUCGGUUUUAUUAUGAUAAGAAAUUAAAAAAAAAAAUCCAUUGGUUACUUUAAAUCCAUUUGUUGUCAAAAAUAAAAACAAAGCUACAACUGAUAUUGUUACUACUUCUCUAAUGUACCAUCUCUAAUUCUAUAGUCCUUAAUCUCCUAACAAGGUUUGGUAUAUGAACUAUUAGGUCACGAAUCACGAUCUAGGUUUCUCAAGGUUAUGGUACUAUAGGGUUUCAAGUUCAACUGUCAAAUAUCCUAACCAACUGGACUGAUAUAAUUUUUUUUUUUGUUUAUUUAGGGCCAAAGACAUGGGCCUUUUAGCCCAAACAAAAGAAGAACAUGGGCCUUUUGUUUCAAACUAAAUAUUUUUGGCAGCUCUAUAUUUAUUUUGUAACUAAUCUAUUUUUACAAAACUGAAUUUAACAUUCUUAACUAUGAUUUGAAUUGUUGGAAGGCAUCUCUCAAACAUGUGACUAAAACGCAUUAGUAAAAACAACAAUUUCGAGGAAAAAAAGUCAUGUCGGAGUCCAGGGGCGGAUCCAUAAACUUUUUUUUAUAUGGGGCACAUAUUAUAUAUAACUAAUGAUAUUAAUUGUAAUAUAUAUUUUAUAUAAUUACAUAUAUUAAUAAAUAAAUAUAAUUUUCACUUUUUAUAUAUUUUAAAAAGGAAAAACAAAUACCGAAUUUUUUGACAAUAUUGUUCUUUUUCUAAUUUAUCAUUUAAAAAUAUACAAUUACAGCUCUAUAUAAAAAUGUACUAUAUAAUAUUAUUAUUUAAAUAUUUAACAACAGCACAAAUUAUUAUUUUACUUAUUUUCUAAGUUUACCAAUAAUUUAUAACUAAAAUUUUUUUAGAAGUUCAACUAAAAUUAGAAAUUAAAAAAUAAAAUUAAAAAAAUAUAGAUUAUUGAAAACAAUAAAGGAAAAGAAAAAAUGCAUCUAAUAAUAAAAAUAUGUAAGAAAGUUAGAGAAAAGAUAUGACAGACAUAAAUAAAAAUCUACCAAAAAUAAAAGCAGAUGAGUUGUACAAAGAAAACAAAAAAAAGAGAAGCAUCAAUACAAAGUGAUAGAACUUUUUACCAAGCAGUUACAUGGGGCACUAUGCUGCCAAAUGAGCCAAAGAUCUAUUAUCUUAUUAUCCACAAACUAAACUUUAAGAAUUAGUACGGGGCACGUGCCCACCUAUGUAUAACAUAGAUCCGCCCCUAUGUGGGACUGUGGAUGAUGGAUAGAUCAUGUGAGGAGCCGCCGUUCUUUAAUUCCCCUCUCUUCAAUCUUCAAACCAAAAAUUAAAAGAUUUUGAAACUUUGAAAAAUAUUGAAAGAAGAAAAAAAGAGAGAGAGAGAGAGAGAGUUUUGGUUUAUAAACGUUUAUUACACUUCUUCAAGUUAAUUAAUAAUCACUUCAUUACGUCUCUCUCUCUCUGUCUCUGGGUUUGGUUUAAAGUGCGUAUUUUUGUGGGUUUGCUUUUGUGGGGGUUUGAAUGGCGUCGACUGCUUCGAAAUUCAUCAAAUGUGUGACUGUUGGAGAUGGUGCCGUUGGAAAAACUUGUAUGCUCAUCUGCUACACUAGCAACAAAUUCCCUACUGUAAGCAAUCCUUGAAUUCGAUCAACAAACUUCAUCUGGGUUUCUCGCAAUUUCGUUACCAAUAUCGUUGAUUCACAUCAAUUUUGUUUUUCCGGGGCAAUCAAUCUCCAAUUUUGUUACUUUUUUGAUGAAAAUCCUUCCGGGUUUUGUCAAAUUUCAACUCGUUUUUAAAGAACUCUAUCAGGGUUUUUCAAAGUUAGCUCCUUUUUUUAGGGAUUGUGUAAGAAACAUCUUUUAUAUUUCCAGAUUUUGGAAAUCUUACAUUGUUAGGCUAGGCUAACAUUUGCUGUAUAGCCUAUGUGUCCUCUCUAUUGCUAUAUAGCCUAUGUGUAUCUCUGUUGAAGUUAAAGAUGAGCUGAGACCUUGUUGGGGUUGAUUGUUGAAAUGUUUCAGGACUACAUACCAACAGUUUUUGAUAACUUUAGUGCAAACGUUGUAGCUGAAGGCAUCACUGUCAACUUAGGCCUUUGGGACACUGCCGGUAAGUAAACUGAAACAUGUCGCCAUUUCUAACAACUAGCAAGUUUGCUUUCGAUUUGAGCUCUUUGGAUAGAGAAAUUGGUAGUGUGUUUCAGACUGGCAACUAUUUAGAUAUUUGUAUGUAUGAGUAUCCUUUCAUGUUUGCAGGUCAAGAAGACUAUAACAGACUAAGGCCUUUGAGUUACAGAGGAGCAGAUGUUUUUGUGUUGGCUUUCUCAUUGAUCAGCCGAGCUAGCUACGAGAAUGUAUUUAAGAAGGUUUGUGAUAAUUGUAUUCCUUCUUAAUCUUAUUGGGAAAACAAAGAAUGAAAUGUGAUUUCUGAUGUUUGUGAAGUGUUUAUUUUGGUCAGUGGAUCCCUGAACUCCAGCGCUUUACACCAGGAGUCCCCAUUGUACUUGUUGGUACCAAAAUGGGUAAGAUAGCUAUUAAGAGUGGAACCAACAAUGUUCUUGGAAAGCAUAUAUCGUAUAUGUAAUGUUUCUUACAAUUUUCCGUUAUAUAGAUCUUCGUGAAGAUAAACAUUAUUUGUCUGAUCAUCCUGGACUGUCCCCAGUAACUACAUCACAGGUGCGAUUUUUCAACCUGUAGAAACCGUAAGCAAUGUUGUGAUACUUCCUUAACCCUUUCCUCUAGGUGUUAUAUGAGAUAAGCAUUCAUAUGUGACAGGGAGAGGAACUCCGCAAGCAUAUUGGAGCAACAUAUUACAUUGAAUGCAGCUCAAAAACUCAACAGGUACACGUGCAUGUGUGUAAGGGAUCAUUCAUGUUAGUGUACUCUUUUGCUUGCACCAAUAUGACACAUAUAAUUUUCUUUGGUCUAUGGUUUUUGUAGAGUGUGAAAGCCGUAUUUGAUGCCGCUAUCAAAGUGGUAAUCAAACCAGUGGUGAAACAAAAGGAGAGGAAGAAGAAGCAAAAGCCACGCAAUGGAUGUCUCUCGUAAGUUUGAAUAGUCUUCACUUUAGAGUUCCUUAUAUAUGAUGUAGAACACUAGAAUUUGGUUAUGCAAAAACUCACAUUUAGUUUUAUCUUUAUAUAGCUGUUCUAAUGUGUUUUUUUUGUGAAGUCUCAUAGCCAUUAACGAUUGUAAAUUGACUUUUUUUCUUUGGCAGUAACAUUCUUUGCGGGAACCAUUGAUGACGCAACUCCAAUCUGAGGAUUGUUCAUUUCUUUUUUCUUUUUUUUUUUUUUCUGAUUGCCCUGUCAUAUACAUAGAGUUGGCAGGGAUAAAGCCUGAAUUCGAUAGUAGCUUCUUUGAUUAUGUUUGUAAAUGUGACCGUGAUGUUUGUUUUUUCCGAUUUUGGUUAUAUAGUUGUUUUCGCCAUUUUGGAGAUAAAGACCCUUUUCAGAUGUAGAAAAGAUCUAACCACAGCGUUUUAGUUGACUGGUUAACACUUGAUUCUUUCUUGAGCCCUUAUUGCCAAAUUUGAAUUUAUUUGGUCUAUUACGAAUUCGAGACAAAAGGCAAAAGCAUGACAAAGAAGAAGGAUGUAAAUUUCAAACGGAGCUAGCACAAGAAGUAAUAAAUCUACAAACUGAAGAGAGAAAAAAAAAAAAAAACUAAUCUUGUGUCUAUAAUACAACUCCAUCACCUAACGCAGCACAUAUAUGUAAAGCCACAAUGCCAAAGACUUGUUUUAUCAUAAUUUGAAACACACUCAAAGCCACCAACAUUUAUUUUAUCUCUCUGCUCUUUUGUGCCGGUGUAUAGAGAUACACACAGGCAUGUUAAGAAGAAUGACCAAAAGUGUGUUUCACCUUUUAAAACUCUCUGUGGGGAGAAGGAGGUAAUGCGGGUCUCUCGCUGAGAACCUUGUUGAUAACUCUUCUGAAAGAGAGUGGCCACGCCGGUGAAUUUGGAACUGUUUUUGGAAGAUCUACAUGAUGGUGAAACCAAGAGGUCAGGUUUUGAGUUCUUAGAAACGUUGAGACCACUGUGAAGUCACAAAUUGACUCACCCAUUCCUCAUCUUAAACAGAGCAGGCCAGCCAAUGAAGCCUUGCGGCAUCACAAUCACUCUCAUCUCGUAGUAACUAGCAAAGUAAAAAAUAGUUUUUGAAACAUCAGUAAGGGAAAAAAAAAAGUGAGGUACGAAACACACUAAAGUUUGUGGGGACUUCGAGGGCUUACAAGCUCAUGUAGCCUCCUGAGAUUCAGAGCUAUUGUUAUUGCCACGAGGACUGCCUAUAUCCAUCCCAUCCUCCUUCCGGUUCUUUCCUCUUCAGAACACCACCUGACAUUUGAUACAUUCUUGCUUGAUCCUCCUUCAAUGGUAAGGAAGCAGAUGAUGAUAAUUGUCUUGCCACAAGUGCUGAUUCGUCUCUUCCCUCUGUUUCAUGACCUCCAGGACCAGAAUUUAAGUCAAGUCCUGACCUAAACCAUUUUGCGUUAUUGUCCAAAACUCCACCAUUGCUACCACCAUUUGGGAGGCCAACGAUAUAAGGUCUUGGGUAAUUAGACGGAACUGGAACUCCAGGACCCAAUAUUUGAGAGUUGACACCAGGGAAGCAAGCUCUCCCACUUGAAGAAGAAUCCAUGUGUGCUGUAGAAGCACCAGAGAAAUUCGAUGAGGUAAUGGGGAAGCUGUUUCCAAAAGGAAACACAGGAUACUGGAACGUUGUGGACUGAAACGGCAUGGCUGGAGACGACGACAAAACCGGACCCCUAUACCCUUCAGGGGUAAAUGAGGAAACACCAGUUGUUGGACCUAACAUUCUCUGUGGUCCACGAUUGGCAAUCAUUGGAAAAGGCUGAUCACCUCUCUCAGGCAUAAUUGGAGGAAUGCUCACAGCUGAAUAAGCGUUAGCAGCAGGAAACCAAGUUGAGAAACUAGCCAUGUUUUCGCCAUUCAUUCGUAUCCCAGAGAGAGAUGGUUGUGAUGGCAAGGCACUUCGUGAAUGUUGAUUUAGAAUCACAGAUGACUCAACAGCCGCAUCAUCACCCGCAGGUCCAUCAUUUAAAUCAAAAUCUCUACGACUACCAGUUGAUGAUAAUUUAACCUGCUGAAAAGAUGGCUCCAACCGAUGACUACUGUUCAUUGUGUAGUUGUUCAUAUCAGUGGAAUCAUCAACUUUGUUAAGAUCAAGAUCAAGUCCCCCAGAAGAAUGAUCAAGCGCUAAACCUAUGACCCCAGAACGAACGCGGUCAAAACUACUUGUGAUCCCAGAUGUACAAUUUGUGGCAUUUCCAGAUCUUUGAGAAGCCAAAUCUUCAAGAACUCUCUCGUCAGCUACAUUCAAAUCAAAAUCCAGAAACGUCCUUGUCUGUUUACCGGCAGAUGUCGAAGCAUCAGAGAUAGAGGUAUUGUUAAUGCUCAGUAACACAUCCUGAGGUUUUCUUGGCUCAGCUGGGCGGAAGGCACUAGUGGCAGCAGAUCCUCUCCAACCAACAGCCCCUUUAUUUCUCAACAGAUCUUCAGGUGGAACAAACGGACCUUUUGCAGCAGCCGCAACAGUAAUUGAUGCAGGAAUUCCACUCGAAACAGGAGCCACCGGAAAAGGUAAGGUAUUAACUGGUUGUAGAGGAGUAGGCGUCAAAAAUACAGAUCCAGAGAAGUUAUUCGAAUCCACAUGUUUUACUUCGUCUCCAUCAAAACCUUCAUUUAGAUCAAAUUCAACUCUGGCAUCCAUCUCUGAUCCACCUGAAGCUGCAGCUGAAACAGAAGAAGCAUCUCUGGCAGCAGAUGUACAUUCCUCUGCUUCAUCUCCAUCCGCAUCACUGGUUUUAGGCCCAUUCGGUCUCUUAAGAUCCUCUACAUCUGUUGGUGAUUCUCCUGGAGUAGCUCUUAACCCUGAAUAACGUUCCUUCAUUUCAAUAUUUUCUAUAUUCCGCUCCACAGGCUCAACUUUAUUUAUAGUUACAGAUGAAUCCAAACCAGCUGAAACAUCCUUUAUAGCAGCGACAGAAGCAUCACAAUCCCGCUUUAUCUUCUUUAUAUCUUUCUGGUCUAUAUGAUUAAUCACCAUGCUAUUGACCAUUUCACUCACAGGUCUAUCAAUGCUUAUUGCAUUCAUACCCCUUGAAAUCCCAGAAGUAUCAGGUACAUCUUCAUCCACUUUUUUAACUAGCUCAGAACUCAAUGUCGUUGGCGGUUUCUCUUCUUUCUUAUCUUCACCAACACUGUCAAAGGGAGCAUGUUUAACAGCCACAGAAUCUACCUUUUCACUUAUAUCUUUACAUUCACUUAACAUUGAGAUUUCUACUCUUUUUGUUGAGUCAGAUGUGUGAUCUGCCUCUGAUAUAGCAUCAACCUUUGUAUCCUUUACUUCCACAGAUUCGCAAUCAUCAAAAAUCUUUUCCUUAACCACGUUUGUGGGCAAAGCAGGUGAAGCGAUGAUAUCAUCUGAAUUGUCAUUGCUCUCUAGCUGAUCCACCAGCGUUUGCAAAUCUUCAGAGUCUGAAUUUGAGCUCUUAUCAGGAUCUCCACUCUUCGAUUCAUUUUUUACCUCUGACUCCACCAACUGUGUGCCACUACUGCUAACAUUUUGCUCACCUUGAUGUUGCUCGUGCGGCAACCCAUCCGAAGUCAUUAGUUUUGGAUUGUUCCCGACAGUAGAAUUUUCAUUCAUCACAGAAUUUGAUGGCUGAGAUACUGAGGGUGAUGCAACAGGCGAUUUAGACAUCUCAUCAGCAGCUACACUAGCAAGAAGAUUCAUUCCAACAUCAUCCGAACCAGCCAAAGAGGUAUUUGUCUCGGAGUAUCGGACACAACUUUCAAUCAAGGCAUUCAUCGAACUGAGUGUUCCACCAUGCCUUUCUCCAGAUUUGAACUCAUUUCCUAAGGAAGAUGUGCUUUUAACAUUCCCAGCUGCUUUAUCAGAAUCUUUAAGAGCCAUGCCACGCUCAUCACCAGCAACAGCAAGUGGUGAACCAGCUGCCUCUUGCGAGCCUGUCAAAAUAUCUUUUAAUUCAUUGCUUUGCCAAGAUUCAGCAUUCAAGACAGAGGUGACAUUAGCUCGACAAGAAUGAUUUUUUUCUCUCACGUUAUUGUCACACAGUUCCUGCUUCACCGCAUGCACAGGAGAAGAAGCUCUGCUAUUCACCGGUGCAGGGUCCUCCAAAGAGCCCCCACUCACACUUUGAGCAGGACUGCGACCUCGAUUUGGCAGCUUCACAAUCAAUUUAUUACUGCAACCCUCGGUCAGAGGAACCUCAAGAGCCUUUUCAGAUGUCAAACUUGAUUGAGAAAUUUUCUCAGAAGGGACGUUCCUUUGUGAUGAGAAGCUUCUACUUAAACCUGCUUCUCUAGGGGAUGCUGACGAAGAUGAUCCAUGAAACGCAUUAUUAAAUUUCCGAUGCCUUGAUGAGCCGCUGGAGCACUUCUUCACAGUUGAACCCGCAGUUGAGCUCCUUGCAUCCUCUUUUCCAGAUAAAUUGCCUGUUUUAGCAUGCUCGCUCGAGCAAGACUGACUAUUAUUGUGGGACUGACUGGAGCUACUACUUUUCUCAUCUUUUACUGCAGCUAGAACUUCAGAUACACCACCAGCCCCAGUAUUUCGUUGCUGUCCAUCUUUGGAAACAGUACCGCCUGAUCCAGGAGAUGGGGCUGAUCUUGUAGAGCCUGGUGACGUGGUAACACACUUCAGGUUGUUAUCCACCUGUUGUUUGACCAAGACUGACUUAGAAGCAUGUAAAUGGGAUGAUGAUGUCUUGUUUGCUUCCGCGGAAACACCUGAAUGCCUUCCCCCAUGAGUCAGUCUUCCAGGCCAAGAUACACCCUGGUUGGAUCCAGACUUCGCAUCCAUUUCUGCCUCAACUCGUUUCUUCCAUGUGUCAACCAAGCUCCUUGCUUUUUUCCCAAUCUCUGAAUUUUUAUGUGACCGCAGAUGAUUAACAGACUUUCCAAUGUUACAAGUCUGAAGCGCAUUGAGAUUCACGGGUAGCUUGUCAAGGGCGCGAAGUAAGACUAAGAGGAAAUCGUCUACUAACCUAUCACUGUCUUUAGGACUGCCCCCAUCCCCAACUUUCCCUUUAUGAACUUCCUGCAGCCACUCAUCAAACACGGGUAAUCCCCUGAGCUGGACAAAACGACUAAGGCAAUCAAACUUGUCUGUAGCCGCUACAACCCCUGCUAGAAUCGCACGGCCAACUAAGUCUAUUUUCUUCUCAUUCCUCUCAGGUAGCAUGAGCUGCACCAAUUUCUCAACUCCUUCAGAAUCUACCAAACCACCUUUGUCUGUAAAUUUUGAAAUCUCAGACUUUAAACCACUUUCUGUUCUGACGGGACCAGAACCACUGUCAUCUACUCGAGUAGAACGUUCCCGUUUAACAGACUCAGAACCAUGAUCCAUGCGCUCUCUUUUCCUUCCCUUACCCUGAGAGAGAAAAGAAUUGUUGUUUGGGAUGCCAUCUUUCGCUUGUGAUGUUGUUGGACUAUUCGUGGACUUGGGAGAACGACCUCCCUGUUGUAGUGUUGUAUGCAUUUCUGAACGAGUCUUACACAAUAACUUAUCUACUUCAAGUUGUCGAUCCUGCAAAGUGAAAAAAUGCCUUAGUUACCAGAAGAAAAACAUAAAUCUAGAUAGGAGAAUGCAGUUGAUGGUGAAUUAUAAUCUCACAUCAAUAUAGUCUUGAUCAGUCAGCCACCAUAAGCGCUCGUUUGUAACGUCGUAUACUCGCCGACACACAAACGAGCAGAUACCAGAUGGCAGUUCAACACCUCUCGGAAGGAAGGCAACUUUACACGGAUGCAGUAAAGAUGCAGCAGGUAUAGUAUCCUGGUGAAAGGAAUAAAAGAGUUCGUUCGGCUCGGCUUCUAGAAGUAUGCCUUUGCCAAGUUUUAAUUCUGUGGGUCGGUAAAGCCAAUUAACACCCAACUUCAACUUAUCUUCUUUCUUGGCAAUGAUCAAGCGAAUUAUCCCAAUGAACGGUGGACAAUCCUGUGGUGGCUUAAAAAGAGCACAGUCACCAACACUAAUUUUGCGGCCGUCCUGCUAGUGACAGCAAAACACAACAAACCUAUAAGACGAAGAGCCAACAAAAAAAGAAAAAAAACAAUACCCAUACACAUAAAUCACCAGACUGAUGUGAUCAAUUCUUUGUUCAAUCAGGCUAGAAAUUGGUAAAGAAAAAAAAACCCUCAUUUCCUCGAAUCAAUCAAUAGAAUCCCAAAAUCCAGGCAAAUUUCAACACUCCAGGCAAACCCAUCAACCAAAACAAAUGGAAGCACGAAAAAAAAUGAGCGUCUGGGAAUAAAAAGUCGAAACGAAAAGGAUUCGAAUUACCUUAGAAAACGAGGUAGACGAAGAUAAAGACAAACAAGAAGAACCACCACCUUCCACACUCGCAAUUACACGCGAGGAAGAUAUCAACAUGUGCCGACGACGACUUUUGUGCCUCCGCUCACAAACCCUCCCAUGCAUAGCCUUCUAUCAUCUUCUCCUUCGAACAACAUCAAUACACUACUCCUCAGCGAAAUCCAACAAAUCCUCAAGCAAUUCCCUUUAUUCCCAGACAAUUUUCGAUACCUUAGAUCCACGAAACCCACCGGCGACGCACAGAAAAAAACCCUAAUUUCGCGACGAAAUGGAUCAAAUCUCUAGGGUAGUUUCAAUUACCGAUCCGAAGAUAACUACACAGAUCCAAAAUCAACAACAGCAACAAGGAAGUAAUCGAAUCAGCCUUGUUUCGAUCCAGGCAUACGAACUUUUUUCCUUCGCGAAAUCGCGUAAGCGAACAAAACACCAGCAAAAAUAAUAAAUCGUAGAGAGAGAGAGAGAGAGACGGGGCAAAAAGGGGAAAGGUGACUUGGGAGAGUUCGGGCGGAUCGGGUCGGGUAGAGAGAAAGAGGGGAGAAGUUGUGGAAAGGGGCAAAGAUAACGUGACAGUGCGGUGACUUAAAUGAUAAAACAAUAUGUGCGUGACGUCAUCUCCGAUCUUUUUCAGGUGACAUAGGGACUAGAGAGAUUAAGAGGUGGGUGAGUGACGGACGGUUUGACCACGUUUCCUUACUCCUUUGACUUUAUUUCUUUUGUUUGUUUUUUUUUUCAAUCAAAAAACUUUGAUCCACGGUUUGCAGAACCGGAAUAAACCAAGAAAAAGUAUUUUAUGAAUUUUAUUUGCUCAAUUUAAAUUAUUUUCAAUUAACAUAUACUGUGAUGACCAAUUUAUGAUCAGUACAAACUUGGUUAGUUAUUGUCUCAACCACUCAUAAUCAUUUCUCAACUAUCAACUACACAUACAUUAGACGAAUAACUACAUAUAUUUUGAUUUAUGUGUUUGUAUUUUUAGGCUGAAAAAUGAAAUAUUAUACGUAUUAAGGUGAUAAACAAAAAUAUCAGCAGUAGAUUUUUUUUUCCACCAACAUUUUGUGCAAUAAACGAAAUGAUAAUUUUUUACUUUUUCAAAAUGUUUUAUAUACUAGGUUUUAGUCUGUGAUACACCAUGGAUCCAUAAUUUAAUAUAUUGUUUGUCAGUUCGAUUUUGGUUUUUGAGAAAAUCAAAACUGCUACGUUAAACAGAGAAGGUUGCAAUUAGGUUUUAAGAUUGGUUUCAAGACGACAAUUUAAAUUUGGGGUUAGUCUAGUUAGCGAUUUUACGAUUUUAAAUUGCAGUUAAGAAAAAUAUAUGAUUUGGUUGGUCGAGAAGAGUUUUAUAAUUUGUGUGAAAUUACGAAAUCUGGUAUCUGGUGACAUAGGGUAAAAGUACAUGUGAAAUUAGUUGAAAGUUGAAACACUAUAGCACAAGGAUCUGAUACAUGCACACCUAACAUAAUUUUUUGUUUUUUUUUUUUUUUUUUUGCAGGAUGAGAUAGUGUGCUAUUUGAAGGAAAACUUAAAAUUUUGAGAAAAUGGAAAAAGGUCUACUGUAUACACAACACAUAUUGUGAGGAGGAUAGAUCGAGCCUGUGAAGGUAGACAAAGAUGAAGGAUUUUGGCUGUUAAUUUCAAACGGAACUAGCACAAGUAAUAAAUCUACAAACUGAAGAAAAAAAAGAAAAAAACAACUAAUCUUGUGUCUCUAUAAUACAACCCCCAUCACCUAACUCAGCACAUAUAUGUAAAGCCACAAUGCCAAAGACUGGAUUUAUCAUAAUUUAAAACACACUAAAAGCCACCUACAUUUGUUUUAUCUCUCUACUCUUUUGUGCCGGUGUAUAGACUACACACAUGCAUGUUUAGAAGAAUGACCAAAUAGUGUGUUUCACCUUUUUAAAAAUCAUGUGUGCGGAGGAGGAGGUAAUGCGGGUCUCUCGCUGAGAACCU
rnacentral:lncRNA from 1 species